CGCGAUGAAUCGGUUAGAACGUUGAACUCCGGGAGUCGUUGAAACUCCCGUCCCGACCCGGGUUCAAAACACAGCAUCUUCUUAGAACAAAGCUAGACCCCCGUGGUCGAGGUUUUUUUUUUUUAAGUAGAGAGGAGUGUUGCAUAAGCUUUUGCAGUUUGCAUGAUAUGCUGAACAAUGGCAUUGCUGGCAAAUGUGCAGACUAGAGGGGUGUGUGCUUUAGGUUCAUGCAUCUGAGAGCAUGCAUUUCCACCGGCUAAAAUAAGGAAUCACUUUGAUUUCCUGGAAUGUAGGGGAGAAAAUCCAUCAACAUUUCCCACCAAGUGGAUGCAGGCAUUUGCAUUUCUUUUUCCCUGUCCGCACAUGCACGUCUGACCAAACGGCUGCAGUUCUUCGCGUGCAAUUUGCAGUCGGCAGCAUGAUGCUGGACCUAGCUCAUACAUGCCUUGUUGAUUGCCGUGCAGUGAAGGCUGCAUCCCUGCUCUGCCAUUUGAAUAUUUUUCUUUUGUGAGCAGCGUAUCAUGUCGUUGCAUGCACACUGAUAGCUGCUUUCACACAAGAUAGUUUCAAGAGAUAUUGUUCGUAUCUGCUUACUGCACUGACCGACAAACAUGCUGAAGUUUAAGAAAUCAAAAACCAGAGCCGUAAACAAGGAUCGCUUGCUCUUUCUAACCACUGAUCUCAGCAGCAGACGCAACUGGGGGGUAGGAUAUGCGUCCCAGUCCUCUGACCUAAUUCCUUCACAUUGUUCUUGUUCAGUUACGAAAUGGACAAGUCUUUUGUAUAAACCUCCCUGUCAAUUCAGGUAGUCAUCCGUACGUAACUUGAGCCGCAAAAGAAGAGCGACACACUAGCAGCAGAGCAGCAGGACAAAUGGACAACCGCUGUUCUUCUGCACUCGUGUUCUCAUGUACGUUGCCAUCAGUUCAUCUGGUUCUGGUCAACUCAUCCUGCAAUUUUCUAUGCUUUCAGCAGAGUACAGAGGUUGCAAGGCAUCCAUCAACUGGCUUGUUAAUUAGUGCUGACAUUGGCCCAAUCGGGAGGCGGUGUCGUAGCAUAUAUCUUGCCCUGUCACAGAUUGAUGCAGGGGAUGGUAUAGAAUAGAUAAACCGCCAAAGCAAGGGGAUCUUGCGCCUUGGUAGUAGGAGAAAUUGGACAAUUGGUGGCAAGUGGUGAUGUCGCCGGGCGCGGACUCUUAGGAAGAUCAUCACGCACGCUAUCCAAUCGAAUACACACACUUCACAAGUCAGCGAAUCGGCAAAUGCAUUUUCAUUGUGUCUGACCUUGUGUCCAAAGGUAUCGUAUCGCCCAUUUGAAUACAAGAUGAUGAGCUCAUUUUCUUGGACGCUGAAGAAGAAAUUCGGGCAGAAAUUUCAAACACCCGCGAAGAAACUUGGAACAAUAUCCAUAGUAAAAUAAAAGGAGCGUAAUAAGCUGUCGUGGAUAUACAUAAUAAGCCGUCGUUAUCUGAUGAUGUUGGGAAGGAAGAAUCGACGAACUCGGAGGCGCAUGCCUGGGAAGAAGUUUCAGCCGACUUGCGCCGUUGCCACACGGGCACAGCCUCCCUGCAUGAAAAACGAAACGAAGUGAAUUGAUUGAUUUCACGCGGCAUGGUCGUCGCUUGCCCCGCAUGGAUCGCCUCCUGCUGCCCUGUCGUCACGGACGGAGCUGUGGCCUGUGGGUGCCGCUGCUGCCUCGAUUUGUUGCUUUCGGGGAUCAAGUUCGUGGAAGAGGGGUGCGUCGUUAGUCAAGGGCCCGAUCGAGAUGCAUGGACGGAUGAUCUGCCCAUCUUGUACCUGUACUUUCGUGUAUAUGGCGCGUUGACCUGUGUGUUGCUGAAGGAUCGGGACGGGCGACAAGAGUGGGGUGAAUGGGAGUCUUUAAAAAUUUUCUCCAAGAACAACAUCUAUGUCCCAAAACACCCAAGAAGCCUCUCUUCUUGCAAUUGUCAAGAUCACGUAGUCGUAGAAGACCUAGUGACCGUAGAAACGAUGCUAGAAAAGUCUAGAAGCAAUGCGGAAGCAAGGCAAAAGAUCCAAGGCAAAAUGAGACUUAGCACCUCGUCUGCCAGGAUUUGUCAGAUAUUCCGGCACCCUACCAUACUCCAGUGAUGAGUCUAUUGAAUACUUCGGCACCCCAUCGGAUACUCCGGUACUUGAUCUAUCAGAUAUUCCGGCACAUACUCCGAUACUAGGACUAUCGGAUACUCCAUCAAAAGGUUCACAACCUCUCGGGAUUGAAUUUAUCGGAAUUUCUAGCACCCUACCGGAAAUUCUAGCACCUUUCAGCAUAACAUAAAACCCAGUCCGAAACUCCAGUCAACGCUCCAAAAUCCAUCCAAACAAUCUCCAAAUCACACAAAACUUUAACAAUAGCUUCACACACAUAUGAAGAGUCUUUGCUUAAAAGAUCUCCUUAAAAAGAUCGAGACUUUACCAUGGAUUUUGUGGAUUCGGGGAAACCAGAAAAAGAAAAGAGAUGAAGAACUCAAGAACAACCUCAAAGAUCUGAUCUUGGAAGACCAAUCAAACGUGAUCCAAAUCCUACAACAUCAUAGCCAUAGCUGCACAUACAUGUGGGGAACCUUUGCCCAAAAGAUCUUCACAAGAGGACCAAGUUUUCACCCUCGAUUUCAUUGAUUUGGCCAAGAACACUUUGCAUGGAUUUGCUAGGGGAUCAUCCUAGAUGUUCUUGCACAUGUCCCAUCAUCGAGUUCCCCAAGAAUUCCUCCCAAAAACACAGCCAAAAUCGAGAUCAAAAAAAUCCUCCAAAAAUAACUUCGAAAAUAAGGAAAAAAAAUAAAUUUCAUAUCCGAGCACGAAUUUGAUCUUUGGAUUACUUGACCAAAUCCAAUUACAAGCCACUUCUAGCAAAAUCAAAGCUUUGGAUGGUAAAAAGACAUCUCUCUCCUCUUUCCCUACCAAAAACUCUCACACCACAAAUAAGAAGCUCACCCCAAAGAGAUUCAAGAGAUAUAUAUAUAUGUGGACCUGAUGCCUUCACGAUUUGAGUUUGUCUCGACGUAAGCUUCGCGCUAGUGUCACACAUCCUCCGACUCGACGCCGUCCGGCCACACCGGACUCACCUCCCGGUUUUGAGGCCAAACCAGUCAAACCCUCUUGCACACCCUGCCAGGUGUGACUCACCCCCCAUUUUGAGGCCAAACCAGUCAAACCCUUUUGCACACUCUGCACGCGUGACUCACCCCUGGUUUUGAGGUCAAAUCGGUCAAACCCUCUUGCACACCCUGUAAGCAUGACUCACCCCCAGUUUUGAGACCAAACCAGUCAAACCCUCCUGCUCGCUGCACACAACGUGACUCAUCGAUGCCGACAGUUGUCCAGCCUCCGCCAAGCCUUUGACACAUCCAAGUCUUUUGCUCCCGCUCCCAGGUUGCCUACUCGACUCACCUCCGUCCCACUUGACUCGACCGACGCCGUCUUCAUCCCAGUGUACUCUUGCUCUUUCGUGCACCAUGUGGAUCACUUAUGAUUCCGCCCGGACUCCUCGGAUCGUUCGGUCCAAGCCUACUCGUAUCCACCCUUCACAGGCCUCGGUAUGAACCUUUCGCUUCACCACCUCAUACCGUCAACUGUCAUGUCGCAUUCAACACCUGCGCAUCACAAGUCAAGAGACACAAUGUAAAACAUAUGUCUACACACACCACAACAUAACACACACGACACAACACAUCUGGUUAGCUGUUAGUAUAAUCACACACAUAUGAAAUAUGGACUCAACCGAAAAAGUCUCGACUCAUCCGGUGAAUCACUCAUCAUAAAUAGAUCAAGGCACAUCUCAACUUGGUCUCUCACUCACAUAUUGAUGAUGCAGGCAGGGGAUAAAAUGGAUGAUGGAUUAAAGAGAAGUGUUUCGAUCGGUCGGAGAAACUGGAGGCAAGUGAUGUCGCCUGCACGGACUCUGAUGAGGACGAAGAUCACGUACGCUAUCCAAUCGAGUGCAGACAGUGCAGUACAAGUCAACGAAUCUGGAAGAGAGUUGUUUUUUAUUUAUUUAUUUUUAAAUGAUGGAAGAGGCUUUGGGCCCUCGUGUCCAAAGACCCGUAUCGCUCAUCUGAAUGCGCGCAGGAUCAUCGGCUCGGUUCCUUUUACGCUGAAGAAGAAGAAAUUCAGGCAAGUUAACAAUGCACCCGGCCGGAAGAGACUUCAGACGAUAUUCAGAUGAGAGCAGAGUAAAACAGUGACGUCCUUUCAGCAACACUCAUGGAGUCAUGGGUAUAACAAUAAGCUGUAGUAGUACAUCCUUAUCAGUUCAUGAUCGGAAGGAAGAAACACCAUGUCAGCAUCCGUCGCCGGCGCCGGCAUAGUGGUCGUGGGUGGGCAAGGGACGGCGACUCCUGCAGCAGGGAGUGAUGGACUGGAUGGUCUCCGGGGUUAUCAUAUCCGUCCGAUCGAUCUCCCAUCUCCCGAGUCAAGGGCUGGAGCGAGAUGCAUGGAUGGAGGUGGAAUGAGAUCUUCUAACUUUACCUCCUCUAACUUUGAGUCAUUAGAUCCAAAUGCAACGAGUUCUGUAUGACGGUGACAGGUUAAAAGUUAGAGGAUCUGUUUCCGAUGGGGUGAUUUGCCCAUCUGGCCGGUGCGUCAGCGAUAGUUCUUCUUGAUCUAAAGCUAGUCAAGGUUCGAGGAGCCUACCAUCAGCAGGAGGGAGGAGGGCCAGGUAGCUGGUGACAAUUACUGAGACAGGACUGGGGGUCUCCUGGCCGGCCUCAGGGUCGUCGUCGGGCCGGUGACUUCGACGCCCAUGGCGAGUCAAAGGUCGCCUCCUCCAUCGGUGCAGUGACGUAGCAUGGCCAUCCACUCCCCAUUGCCGCAGCUUCUGGAUCAGGGUUCUUCCUCGAAACUCCCUGCACGCACCGGUCGGUUUCCGUUCUGGGUACGCGUAGCUUUGACAGCCAUGAAUGAGCACCAACUGAUGAUGAUGAUGAUAAUGAUGGGGGAGGUGUAUAUAUAAUUAUUAUGUACGUGGGCUAGGCCUCUUUCGGCCUCCAUGGCCUUGGGCUGGGCUGCUGCUACGCUUCUGCCCGCUCCCCCAUCCCAUCCAUAUGAUGAUGGCUUCCCGGCCCGGCCGUAUCCAAACAGCCCAUGUCUUCCCCUCCCAUCAACAAUGGGCCUCGGAAGUGGAAGGCCAGAGGAGGCCGAACUUUCGACCUCCGCUUCCGACUCGACCUCCGCUUCCGACUCGAAGUCAGCCAACACGAUGACACGAUCGACUAUAAAAUAAAAUGCAUCUAUCCCUACAACCCCACAUCUCCCAGCAGGGCUCUCCGCCGGAAGCAAGAACGUACGCCCCCUACAGAUUCUAGCAGCGAGCAUCUUCGACUUCAGGUACGUCCAACUGUUCGAUUUUUUUGCCUGCCUCUACAACUUCUAGCAGUCUCGUUCGUAUUCAUGGUGUCGGUUGAUGAUCUCUAUAGCGUAUAUAUCGGUGUUGUUCAGGUAGGGUUACGGGAUUAUUUUGGAUGGAAUUUGUGGCUCAUCUCAUAUGAUUUGGUUAGAUCUUAUGAUCUGUUGGCCAGCCUUUAGUUUGUGACUGUAGAUUUUUCCUUCUUCCUUCUGCUACCUGCUUGAAUUGUGGGCCUUUUUGGCUAGCUAUUGAUGAUUGCUCUAUAGCCUAAUAAACAAAAGCGAGACGAAAACAUCGGCUAUUAAUCUUUUUUUAAGGAAAGGCUGCUAUUAAUUUUAGUUGCUGGUUGAUAUUAACGGCUGCAUAUUCUGUUUUCCGAUUAGAUCGAUUCAUUAUAUUCUAGCAGUGUUAGGUUCUUCAUGGCUGGUUUGGCAUUCGCCUGCCCUCAUGCAUGGUUCUACUCCAGUAUUUCGGCAAGUUGAGAACUGCAUACUCACUUAUCUCGUCAAUGUACAGAACUGAGUGAACCAUGUUAUUUUAAUGAUUGCUCAAGACUUAACUUUGUAUCCUAGGCUUGAUGUUUUCUAUAAGCAACGAAAUUACAUAGUAGAUUUCUACUCUUGCUUCUACUGCUUUUUAGAUAGCUGGUUCUUGCUUCUGCCACAUGUUGGAAUCGUUGUAUAGACUAAAUAAUUAAAAGCUGGAUUAAAGUAUUUUUGUCUACAGUAAAAAAUAAUUGUUGGUGAUGUUUGGUGUGCUAGUUCAGAAUGCAGAUCUUUGUGAGGACCCCCACCGGGACGACGAUUUGCCUCAGGGUCCAACCAUCAGAUACCUUGUAUGCCGUUAAGCAAAAGAUACUGGAACGCCACCACCUUGCCUUUGAUGGAGUGCUGCUGGAGGAUAACCUUACAUUGGCUGAUUAUAACAUCCAACAUCAAUCCACGCUCGACCUCCAAGAAAAGAUGCAAAUCUAUGUAAGGGAGACACUAAAUGGCAUGACUUUCAUUCUUGAGGUUGAUAGCUUAGAUACUAUCGAUAGCAUAAAGGACAAGAUUGAAGAUACCGAGGGGUUUCCCAAGAGCCUGCAGUGCCUCAUCUUUGCCAACGAACAGCUGGAGGGCAAGCGCACCCUGGCGGACCACAACAUCUGCAAGGACUCCACCCUUCUCCUCGUCCUCCACCCAUGCCCGAGAGGCACGAUGCAGAUUUUUGUGAAGAUGCUAGAUGGAAAGACCCCCACUUUUCAGGUCGAGAGAUCGUAUACCGUCAGCUAUGUCAAGAUGAAGAUCUAUGAGAUGAAGGGCAUCCGCCCCAUACAGCAACGCCUCAUCUUUGCCGGCCAGCAACUGCAGGGCAGGCGCACCCUGGCGGACUAUAACAUUCAGAAGGAGUGUACCCUCCAUCUGGUACUCUGCCUUUGUGGUUGUUGACGAGACUGAUGCCAUGCAAGGUCAUCCAACAACGAGAGUUCUUUUGCUGAAGUACGUCAUGUUUCUUUCUUUCUACUAGCGGCGUGUUAUCAGUAAAACUAUCAUCAAUUAUAGGCCAUCAGUUUGCUAAGGUCUUUUUUCAUUUGCAAGUAGCGUUUUGUGUUAUCAUCAGUAAAAUUUUCGUUUGUGGUAACGUUAAUGUCUGAGAUCUUAGCAUAGUUGAUUCAGAAAUACAGUCAACAGCUUCAACUUGUGAUUACGUGUUCGCAAGCAUCACGUCACGCGUCAGUUCAAUACCCGGUUGGCUUCUUGUCUCUAUCACGGCAGCCUCUCGGUUGAUUUUAAGGGUGCGUUUGUUCGAGGGUUGAGGUGGGUUGGAACAGGUUGAAUUUAGAUGGAUCUAUAUUUGGUUCAGAAAUAAAGUGUGUUGGGUUCAUCCCCACAGGGAAUAUACCCCUCAGAUCCAGGUCGAGACGGUCCGUCCAAAUUGAACGAACCAUCUCGACCUACUUCCCUAUUUCAACAGUGUCGCUCUCCGGCUGGACAAGCUCGAGCCCCGCUCCUGCGGCCGGAUGAGCUCGAGCCCCGCCGCCGCCGGCCACCGCGGGCUGAUGCUCGGCCUGGACGGCGGCCGCGACGGCCGGGGAUACACCCCAUACGACGACGCAUCAUCUUUGCCGCUCAGAUACCGUCUGGGAUCUUAUUAGCAUCAGUUGAUUCAGAAAUACAUUCAGCAGCUUCAACUUGUGACUACGUGUUUGCAAGCAUCCAGCGGCCAUUGCGUGCGCUUGUGAAAGAGAGAUAGGGCCUAGGGGAUCAGAUCAGCAGGAGAGGGACGGGCCAGGUAGAUGGUGACAAUGAGACAGGACUGGGGGUCUCAUGAUCUCGGGUCGUCGGCCGUCCACUCCCCAAUGCUGCCGCUUCAGAUCAGUGAUCAAGCUACCGCUUCUUCCAGGAAAAUCCCUGCACGCACCGAUUUCCUCCGUUCGGGGUACGCGUAGCUCGGACAGUCAUGAAUGAGCACCAACUAAUGGGGGCAGAUGCAUAUAUAUAACUUAUAACUACUCAGGUUGACGCACGCCUAUACAAAAGAUGUUAAUCUGAAAUAAUGAUGAGAAACCAUUUUAUUAUCUUAUUGUGCUUAAUCAAAAAAAAACAUAAUAUAGAAUCAAAUCGAUCGCAUCUAAUAUUAAAUUCAAACAAGUUUUUAUCAUAAUAGUCAUUCGAGCACCGUGUAAUUUUUUUCUUAGGAAGUCAUGAGCCUUAGUAGAUAUAGCUAACGGAUUGACGUGCUAUGUUACCCUGAUACUUGGUUUUGAUAGAAAUAAAACAAAUUAAAUUAGCAAUGAAUGAAUAAUUCAAUCAUAUUUUGCAAUUUAAUUUGAAGGCAAGGUCAAAAAAUAGUAGGGCUACCAGAGGUGAAGCUAUUAUGCAAAGUUUAAUAAUUAUUUUAUACAUAGAAAAAAUUAAAUAUAUUUAUACUUUCCGUACAAUGUAAUUGCAAAUAAUAGAAAAAUCGUCAUCGAUAUUUUUUUAAAAAAAAUUCAUGAGACCCACUCGAUAGUAUCGUGGAUCCCACUGAAGAGUACGUGGAUCCCAUACAGAUCCCACUUGAAUAGUUUGUUGAUCCCACGUGAAUUUUUUUAAACAAUACGUGGAUCCCACGUGAUGUCGGGAUGCAUGAGGAGGCACGAAACCUAGGAGCGUACAUGGGCCAGGCCUCCUUCGGCUUUCAUGGCUUCCCGGCCCGUAUCCAAACAGCCCAUGUCUCUUCCUCCCGUCAAUAAUGGGCCUCCGAAGUGGAGGCCCAAGUCCGGCCUGCUAUCGCUCGCCGCCGUCCGGACGGAAUCGUCGUCGAUCGAGGAGACCAAAACUUUCCACUUCCGCCCCAAGUCGUCCGUCCACGCUUCCAAUCGAUCUCCCAGCAGGGCUCUCCGCCGGCGGAAGCAACAACGUACGCCCCUGCAGAUUCUAGCAACAAGCAUCUUCGUCGGCUUCAGGUAAGUCGAGCUGUUCAAUUUUUUGCCUCUCUCUCUCUCUCUCUACUACUUCUAGCAGUCUCAUUCGUAUUCAUGGCGUCGGUGAUGAUCUCUAUAGCGUAUAUGUCAGUUUUCGUGUAGGGUUACGGGAGUAUCUUGGCUGGAGUUUGUGGCUCAUCACCUCAUAUGAUUUGUUGUUGGCUCUUGGGAUCUGUUGGCCAGCCUUUGUGACUGCAGAUUUAUCUUCUUUCUUCUAUUCUGCUACCUGUUUGGAUUGUUGACAUUUUUUGGCUGUUAAUUGCUCUGUAGUAGCCUACACAAAAGCAAGAAGAAAAGCGUAUCCUACUAAUUUUAGUUGCUCGUUGAAACAAGGGCUGCAUAUCCUGUUCUCCAAUCGGGUCGAUGCAUUCUAGCAAAUCUGAAGUGUGCGCUAGCUAGCUUCAGUAAUGCUAGAUUCUUCUUUGCUGAUUCGGCAUUCGCCUGUCCUCGCCGUUGUAUUCCAGUACAAAGUGCUCGGCAAAUUGAGAACUACGUAUUCACGCUAUCUCUUCGGUUCGAUGCACAGAACUGAGUGAACCAUGUUAUUCCAAUGAUUGCUCAAGACUUAAACUUUGUAUCCUAGGCUUGGUAUUUUCUAUAAGCGAUGUACAUUACGCAGUAGAUAUCUGCUCUUGCUUCUACUGUUUUUUAGAUAGCUCGUUCUUGGCUUCUUGCUUCUGCCACCUGUUGGAAUUGUUGUAUAUAGCCUAAAUAAUUAAAAUCUGUACUAAAGCAUUCUUUUUGUCUACAUUCAGAAUGCAGAUAUUUGUGAGGAGCCCCACCGGCAGGAUGAUUUGCCUCAGGGUCCAACCAUCACAUACCUUGUAUGCCGUUAAGCAAAAGAUAUUGGAACACCACCACCUUGCAUUUGAUGGAGUGUAGCUGGAGGAUAACCUCACAUUGGCUGAUUAUAACAUCCAGCAUCAAUCCACGCUUGACCUCCAAGAAAAGAUGCAAAUCUAUGUAGCUCAUGGAGACGACUCCUGUGUAGCUGACGCUGGAGUAGAAGAUUUGAGACUUUGGUGAUUUGUAAAUAUAUCACAUGACUCUCCAUAAAGAUAAUACCUCCAAAUCUUUAGAGAAAAAUAACUGCAGCUAACUCCAAAUCAUGUGUAGAGUAAUUCUGCUCAUGCUUCUUCAAUUGCCUUGAUGCAUAAGCAAUCACUUUACCUUCUUGCAUAAGCACACAACCAAGCCCGAUUCAAGAAGCAUCUGUAUACAAAGUGAAGCGUCUGCCACUCUCAGGUAAUGUCAAUAUAGGAGCAUUCACUAACUUACUCUUCAGAGUUUGGAAACUGGCCUCACACUCUUUAGUCCAUAUGAAUGGAACACCCUUCUUAGUGAGAUUAGUCAUUGGCUUAGCAAUAAUUGAGAAACCCUGCACGAAACGCCGAUAAUAACCUGCAAGCCCAAGGAAGCUCCGAACCUCUGUUACAUUGGUUGGUCUUUGCCAUUCCACCACUGAGGCAACAUAUCUAAUGCCAUGCUGAUUAAUGACAUGACCAAGGAAGCUCACUUAAGAAAGCCAAAAUGCACAUUUCUUCAAUUUUGCAUAGAACUUGUUCUUCUGAAGUGCAUGCAAGACAAGACUGAGAUGAACCUUAUGCUUCUCCUUUGACUUGGAGUAGACUAAGAUAUCAUCGAUGAAUACCACAACAAAAACAUCCAAGUACUCAUGCAACAUCCUUUCAUGGCCUCCAUAAAAACAGCAUGGACAUUUAUUAGUCCAAAAGACAUAACCACAUAUUCAUAAUGCCCAUACCUUGUAUUAAAAGCCGUCUUCUCAAUAUCCUCUUCCUUGAUACAUAGUUGAUGGUAACCACAUUGCAAGUCAAUCUUAGAGAAUACCUUGGCACCUCUCAAUUGAUCAAAGAGAGCAUCAAUACGAGGCAAAGGGUACUUGUUCUUGAUUGUCACUUGAUUAUGUGCUUGAUAAUCAACACAAAAUCUUUUAGUGCUAUCCUUCUUUUCUACAAACAAGACUGGGGCAGCCCAAGGUGACGUGCUUGCUUGGUUAAACCCUUUAGUAAGAAGUUCAUCCAAUUGUUUCUUUAACUCCACCUGCUCCAAAGGAGCCAUCUUGUAUGGUGUCUUAUAUAUAGGUUGCGUUCCAGGAACUAACUCACUACUAGAAACCUUGGCUUUAGUCUCGGUUGGUAGGGGUCAAAUUUCUCUAAAACCAUUCAGGAUAUAAUUUUCGAGACAAAAGGUGGGGGUCCUUUAGUCCCGGGUCAGGCCCCCUUUAGUCCAUGUUGGUGCUACGUAGUCCGGGACUAAAAAUUUCAAAAUAAAAAUAAAAAAAGCAGCCCACGCCCGUCGGCCGCUGGCCGCGCGCCGCCCUGACACUGCUCCGCUCCGGCCUCCGCCUCGGCCCCAGCCUUCGCUCCGCCUCCACUGCUCCGAGCCCGCGCCACCUCUCCACCCUGGCCUCCACUCCGAGCCCUCGCCGCUGCGCGCCCUCGCCCCGCUGCCGCUACUCACUGCCAGUGAGGGGCGAGCAGAGGGGGAAGGGGAGGGGCAGCAGGGGGAGGGGGUUGGCACUCGUGCUGGAGGGAGAGGAGGAGGAGGAAGAAGAAAGGGGAAGAUAAGGAGCUGUGCACCGGAGGGAGUCCUGGUCUUCUAAGGAAGAUAAAGAGGAUGCACUGUAGCGCAACCAAUCCGGGGUCCUCCCUGACGGGCCCUCCAUCCGUCGCUCGUAGGGAGUGGCCAAGGGGUUAAUGGGGGAGCAUAAGAAUGCGCCGCCGGGGUGUCGAAGGAGCUUGGUGCCGGAGAAGGAUCUUUUUCUUCAUUGAGCUCGUUCUCAAAUCUGGAUGCACCAGCGGCCGGCUGGGGGGGGGGGCGCCGGAUGGUGGUGGGAGGUGGGACAUGGCCGGCGCAGGCCUGGAGGGGUUGGGAGGGGAGUGGACGCUAAGGCCGGAGUGGCCGCCGGCGGGUGGCGCGGUGGGCGCGAGGUCUAGAGAGAGAAACUAGAGAAAUGCCCGUUAUUUUCCACUUCCAGUAAGCUAUAUAGAGUAAGUAACAUACAUGGAGUAUUGUACUGUUAGUUUCUUUGCAGUUUAUUCUAAGAUGUUCCAUCCUUCAUUUGAGUAACUAUUUGUCAAUUUGACAAAUUAACCACAUUCAAAAGCUAUACAAGCAGAGGGAGCCGCAUGACAGGCCAUUUGUGAUGUUGCAUUGUUGGGCGUUACUCAAACACCAUAGAAGUGGAUCAAUCGGGAUAAUGAUUGUCAUCUACUUAAGAAGAAAGCACAAAAGUCUUUUUCAGAAUUUGAGAAUGAGGGUGAUGACAAUGAUGAUGAUGUGGAGGAGAGUGGCAUUCCAAGAUCGGCAGUGAACCACAAAGAGAGACCUUCAGGGAGGAAGCAAGAGAAGGAGAGGGUAAAGAAAGGAGGAGAUGGUAUUGUGUUCCAGUCCGCAGUUCCAGAGAUGAUUGAAACAAAGGAGGAGAUACCAGUUACUGGGAAAGGAUUAUUGGAAGACUGCUGGAGAUGCUCUUAAUUGUAUAGCCUAAACAAAAGCAUUUGUUGCUGUUAAUUUUAGUUGAUACUAGAAAAUAAGGGCUGCAUAUUCUGUUUUUUUCCAAUUAAUUCGAUACGUUGUAGCAACUCUAAAGUGUGCGCUAGCUUCUGUAACAUUAGAGUGUUGUUGGCUGAUUUGGCAUUUGCCUUUCGUCGGUUCUAUUCCACUAGAAAGUGUUCAGCAAUUGAGAACUUUCUCGCUUAAUCUAUUCAGAUAAAUGCACAGAAUUGAGUGAACCAUGUAAUUUUUAAUGGUUGCUCAACACUACUUUGUAUGCUAGCUAGCUAGGCUUGCUCUGUACAAACAUUGUAUUUACACAGUAGAAUUGUUGGCUUUUUCUUGUAUAACCUAAAACCGAAAGCUUGAUUGAGCCACUUUUGUCUAAAAAUGUUAAUGUUGAAGUGCUCAUUCAGAAUAUAUUAUCUUUGUGAGGAGGCCCACCGGCAGGAUAAUCCACCUCAGUGUCCAACCAUCACAUACCUUGUAUACUGUGAGAGAAAAAAUUCUGGAACAACACUGCCUUGUCUUUGAUGGAGAGCAGCUAGAGGACAACUUUACACUAGCUGACGCUUGACCUCCUAGAAAAGAUGCAAAUCUAUGUAAUGGAGACGCUAGCAGGCAAGUCCAUCACCCUUGAGGUUGAAUACUAUUGACAACGUGAAGGGCAAAAUUGAAGAUCCUCAUGUUUUCCAACAAACAGCUGCACGACAACAGCACCUUGGCGACAACAACAUUUGGAAGGAGGCCAUCGUUCUUCUUGUCCUCCACCCAUUUCCAAGAGGCACGAUGCGGAUCUUCGUGGUGAAGAUGACUAGAAGGACCAUGCAUCCCUCUUUUGGUUGAGAGUUGAGAUACCAUCGACGCUGUGAAGCUGAAGAUCUAUGAGAAGGAUGGCACUCGCCCCAGACGGCAACGCCUCAUUUUGCUGGCAAACAGUUGGAGGACAGCCAGACCUGGCUGACUAUAUCAUUCAAAAUGAGUCUACCAUUGACGUCGACGUGGUGCUCUGCCAAUGUGGUCGCUGAGAUGCAUGACCAUCAACACGGAGAUACGUGAUGUAUGGCCAUUCAACAAGGAGAUACAUUUGCUGCAGUCUUCUUUCUUUCCUUCCAGUAGUGGUGUGUCAUCAGUAAAACUACUAUCAUUGUAGGACGUUAGUAUUGCUGCAUUCUUCUUUCUUUAUUAUCAAACUGAGAUUAACUUAUCUGGCCAACCCAUCGUGCGUUGUGAUGUACUACAGUACAGCAGAUGGUUCGUUCUCACAACAGAAUCAAACAGGAAAAUCACGGCAAUUACAAAUGGGGAUGUCGGCCGGAUAAACAAUUACUAUUUUAUUUGGCAACAAUUCAAGUACUGUUUUGGCAGCAGUAAAGGAAAACUAGUAAGUUCCGGCUGAGUUUUUCUGGAUAAAAACAUAAAACGCUGCCGCUGUUACGGCGCACAAAAUCCCUGCGUUCUCCAUUGAGUUCGCAUGUGUGUUUCCACAGCUCACCGGACGGCCGCCGUCGAGUUGAUCUCCGGCGAACCUCUGACAGAGAUGUGCGUGGCACUAUGGUGGAUGUGGACCCACCACUCGUUACACGGUCAAAAGGGGCCCAACCAGGUCGAAGGGCAAGGAAGAAACUCUGGGCCGCCUCUGGCUGCCGGGAAUUAUUGGCUGAUUGCUUUUUGGAAAAUAAAAAUCAGCUCCGGUUGGAAGUCCUAAUUCUCUUCCACUUCCGAUUCCAACCUUCAAGUUCCUGCCAAGUCGAGUAUAUACACAUACAUCUAUCCCCAAACCUUUCAUCAUGGAAAAUGCAAAACCACAUGUACAUGUGACCACAUGACUUAUCUUAACCGUUAAUUUCUUUUUAUCCAACUGUUGAUCCACUACCUACCCCAUGUACUUCUUACCUACCAAUGAUCUAUCCCACCAUUGAUUCAAAAAUAAAUGGCUUAGAUAUAUAACUCAUGUGGUCACAUGUAUAUCCUUUCGUUAUAGUAUGUUAAUGUGUGAGAUCUUGUAUCAAGAGUCCCUGGGUUUGUCUUGGCAUCAUUUUAUUGAGAAAAACAGUUGGUGGCUUCAACUUUAGUAAGGUGUGUUGCAAGCAUGCAGCGGCAAUUGCAGAGGUCACAAGCAUGCAUCAGCUCAAUACCCUAUCUGCUAAUUGUCUCUGUCACGCAGUCUCUCGGUUGAUUUUAAUCUUAACAAGACGUGCACAAGCACAACCAUUGUUCCCACGGAAAUCCUAAAGAGAAACAUAAAAAUCGUACUAACCUUUGCUCAGAAAAAAAAUGGACUGAAAUAUAGGGUGUGUAAAAAAUAUUACAAGCUUUUAGUAGUAAUAUAUGUUUCCAUAAUAACCCAGGUAACGCACAAAAGUAUAGAUGACAUUAUCGUGGAGACUGAAUUCCCAAGUAUGCUGAAUCAGUCAUGCUGACAUACCCGUUGCUAAGCUCGAUUUCGAAGCAAGCGUUUGGUGAUCCAACGAGCAUAGCUCCCUCGUCGGAAGUCUCCUGCCCCCAUGGAUGCUGCGACAGGUUCCUAAACCUCUCAAGCUCAUCUGCAACCUCCCGCAUCGGCGGUCUCUGCUCGCUAGCCAUCUCCAAGCAUCGCCUCGCCAGCUCGGCCAACUGCUCGAUCAGCUCGAUGCUCUCUUCGCCUUUGAUCUGUUCGUCCAGUAUCUCGCCAAGCCUGUUCUCGCUCAUGGCCAGGAGGAAAUGUGCCGAGAGGUUUAUUUCCUCAUCGAUUGCCUGAAGGUUCGUCGCCUUCCUGCACGUCAGCAGCUCCAGGAUGACGACGCCGAAGCUGUACACGUCGCUCUUGCUCGUCAGCUUGGAGGUCUGCAUGUACUCUGGAUCCAGGUAGCCGUAGGUCCCCUGGACAAAUGUCACAAACUGGGCCUCGUCCGUCGGAGCCAAAGUCGAGGCUCCAAAAUCUGAGACUUUGACGGUGUAGUUGUCGUCGAUGAGUAUGUUUGCCGAUUUCACGUCGCCGUGGAUGAUCGGCGGCGAGGCCGAGGAGUGCAGGUAGGCGAGUGCUUCCGCGGCCUCGUGCGCGAUCUUCAGGCGCGUCGCGAAGGAGACGCGCGGCCCGUGGUGAUGCCGGCCUUGGAUGAGCUGGUACAGGGUGCCGUUGGGGAUGAACUCGUAGACGAGCAUGGGCACCUCCACCUCAAGGCAGCAGCCAUAGAGCUUGACGACGUUCCUGUGGUUGAUCUGGGACAGGAUGAGCAUCUCCUUCCCGAACUCCUUCUCCUGCCUCUCGCUGAUCAUCUUGCACUUCUUUAUCGCGACCGACCUGUUAUCUUUUAGAGUUCCUUUGUACACGGUGCCAUUCCCUCCCUUGCCGAGCACAUUUCGCUCGUCGAAGUUACCAGUCGCCUCGCCGAGCUCUGCUUUAGUGAACAAUGUGAAGGACAGACCUUGUUUUGACUUCAUUUCCUCCAACAGCAAGAGGCCCCCGUGCUGCUUGAAGUACCUCUUCUUCACAGCGGCAAGCCUCCUCUUCUGGUGGAACAGGUAGGCGCCAGACAGGGUAACUACUAGCAACACUACGGCAAUGCUAACACCUGCAGCAAGGUCGCAGGAUCAGAUGUAUUAGAGGAGAUGAGCAAGUAAUUCAGGUGAUCGAGACCACGACGUACCAGGCAAAACAAUAUUAAAUUCUUCUUCGAUGUGGGUGCAACGCAGUUUUACAGGAUCAUACAUUGUUUUAGGGGGGCAACUGAUGCAAUUGUAUCCUCCUGGAUAAUUAUGGCAUAUUCCAUAGCAUCGGUUUGGUAUGGAACACUCAUCAAUAUCUGCAGCAGCAUCAUAUAUACUUUAGUAGUAUAUAGAAAUUAACGAAAUGAAGACGAUUCCAGCUGUUGAGACUUCAGUCUUUCUUUGGAAACUUUUGUUUUCAUCAGUAAUCCAAAGUGAAUUUCAGUUUUAUCAGAGUUCUUACUAAAACUCGGAUCUAAAUCCUGAUUGUUAGUGAAAAAUCAUAUUGCACAAUGACAAAAGGACAUAUAGUAGGAAAAACAUAAAUCGCAUGUCAAUAUUUGAAGACAGUUUUACUCUGCAGUUCGUUGUCUCUGUGGUUAGUGAUUGGAAACAGAAACGAGCGACUUUGUUCAUAUUCGUAGAAGAGAAGACAACCUAAGGCUAAUCCUAGUGCAUUGUACAUGCAUAUUAAGGGUGCGUUUUGGUAGGAUUCAUAUUCGUAGAAGCAUUUCAGAUCCAAAUUCUUUCUAGAAACAUUUCUCUAAUAAAUGAGAAUCACUUUGUGGAGCUGCUUAGCAAAAUUCAGAUUCUUGAAAAGGAGGUAAAAAUAUUGUUUUUCAUGAAAAAGUCAUAAAAAUAGGUAGGUUUCACAAAAAGAAUAUUGAAUAUUUUGUGGUUAAACAGCGAUUCACAUGAGACCCAUUUUAACUUGUUGCAUUUAAAAACGCUUAACAAAAAAUACAAUUGCUAUAGUAGAGGGGAGGCAAGAAACGGAAUCAAUUGAAACCAGUCUGCAUCCUUUUCGGACCAGUUUGGCAGCUCAAAACGUUUUCGAUUCUAACCAGAAAUGUUAGAAUCACUGCCAAACGGAGAGAGGGCGAAACAUUUCACCGGUGAAUCACUUGAAUCGAUUCUCCUUUUCACUGGUGCUUUCGCCUGAUUCUGUUUGGCCUCCACCCUACUCUAGCAAAAGUAUUUUUUAAUUCUUUUUUAAGUGCAACAAAUUAAAAAUGAGUUGCACUAGCAUAGUUCUUCACCCACAAAAAGCUUCAAUUUUUUAAUAGAACCUAUUUAAUUUUUGUGAUUUUUUAUGUAAAACAAAGAUUUUACCUACCUUUUAAUAAGUUGAAUGUAGCUAAACAGUUUCACAAAGUGAUUAUGAUUCAUUAGAGAAACAUUUCUGGAAAAAAUCUGAAAUGUUUCUAUGAGAAUAUGAAACCCUGCCAAAUGCACCCUUCAUGUGUCUAGGCAAAAAGAAGAGAAUUGAUUCAAGUGAUUCACCCUCUCCCCGUUUGGCAGUGAUUCUAGUGUUUGUGGCUAGAAUCAUAAAUGUUCCAAGAUGCCAAACAGGGCCUAAAUGAGUGCCACGUAGAAUGGUUAGAUGACACCUUAGUUUUGUGUCAUCAUGGAUACUCCCUCUAUCCUAAAUAUAAGGUGAGGUCAAAGUUGGCAUGGUCUUCAAUAGUAGCAUUUGAUUAUUGAUAUCUUUUAUGAUAUAAUAUUAUUAUAGCAACAAAAUUAUAUCCAUAUGGGUGCCAAAAAGGGUAACUACUAGCAUGACUACGGCAAUGCUAACACCUGCAGCAAGGUCACAGGAUCAGAUGUUGUCAAGGAGAUGAGCAAGUAAUUCAGUUAAUGGAGACGACGAUGUACCAGGCAAAAAUUAAGGCAAUUCUUCAUUGGAGUGCAUUGCAUUGUUGUAAGAUCAUACUGUGUUUUAUUAACGCAGCUGGUGCAAUAUAAUUAAUUGGGAGGAGAGUCGUGUGAUUUUUCUUGAUCCUCGUGAACUUGGGAUAGAUUACUAGAACCAUAUUGGGGAAACAUGACUGUUUGUUUUUUUUUUCUUGCUGGACGAAACAAAGAAAGACGUCGUAUAUCCACUUUUUAUUUUUAUUUCCUUUUUUACUUUUGGGGAAAGACGAAACAAAGAACCAUAUGGGGGAUUCUAAUAUGUGCGGACAUAAUUUUCGCCAGUUUUUCUUUGUAGUGAAUUUAAGUUUGUUAGAGUUCUCACUAAAGCGUGAACCCAAAUCCAGACUGCUGGUGAGAAAUCCUAUCAGUCGCGUGAUGGGAAGAGAACGCCAUGUUGUGACAAAAACAUUCAUCUAUUCUCAUGUAAAUAUUUAAAGGCAGUGUUUUACUAGUCUCCAGUCCACUGUCUUAGUCCGGUACAUUAGUGAUUGAUAAUAGACAAGCGUGAUUUGUUGAUUUGGUGAAGUAUAACAAAAGUCAAAAUACAGAGAAAUUAAAGAUUCUACUCUCCAGACAGUCUAAUAAUUUCAGAGAUCUGACGUGCAAGAGUCAGCGCUGGUAUAUUCUCUUCAGGAGGGUUAUUGAUUUUUCACGCAUGGAUGUCAGAAUUGGUUGAUUCAUGCAGCAUAAACACAGUUCCUGAAGAAUAUUCUAAACGUCAAAAUUAUCAGGAAAAUUGCUAGUUAGGGCAUGAUUAUCACUGGAUUACUGCUACCUGCUGUUUUUAGUCAUGACUCGUGAGUGUUGAACCAGAAUGGUUAGGAUAAAUAAUGUAUACGCAGAAAGAGACAGAGAAACAGACAGAGAACCUUCACAGCCGUCCUGUAUAUACGGAUUCCCUAGAAAGCCCGACUCGCAUUUGCAUCGAUAGCCAAUGUAACCAUCCGUUGAAUUGACACCCAAACAAUUGCUAUUGAUGCUAACGCAUCCAUAUUCUGAGGAGUUCAGCUUAGCCUCCUGACAUGUCAGAUUGGCAACAACCCAUUGCACAGAGGAUGAUACCAAAUAGAGACCAGGUUCCUUCAGUGCAUCCACCCUAAACAUCUGUUGUGGGGUAUAUCUGAUGUCCACAAUGCCAUCAUAAAUGUCAAUAUGUGUCACCUGAUGUUCCUCAUCAAACUGGAGAGUAGACGUAGAAUUUGUGCAGUUGAGCUGAAGUAUCCUGGUUGCAGAACAACCUUCUUCUAGGCCAAAAGGGAACGGAAUAGAGAUGUUGCCACAAUUUCGCUGGCAGUUCACCUUUUGUUGAAUUGGAUUAUAACCUGUUUCUGACAAAAUAAAUUCAUGAAUGGUCAAUGAUUGGAUAACUUCAAAGCUGCCCCACUUAAGGAAAAUAGUCAGGCACUUCACCAACUUAUGCCACACACAAAAUUUAUAUAGCAUGACUUAGGAAAUACACACAAUUUAUGUAAACAUUUUUGCAGGAUUUUCUUGUUCAUAUGCGUGCAUUUACUAUCAGCACCUUCAAAUGUGCUUUGAGAUUGAUGUGGACUUUUAAGAUUCAAGCGGGCAUCAUAUUUUCUAUUAAUUGCAAUAUUAUUUGCACUUCCGUAAAUAAAUGAUUGUACAUAGCAUGGAAAGAAAUACCUUUAUCACGCGAACAACCAUUGGGUAUGUAUGAGUUACCACUGUACCCAUCUUCGCAACCACAGUGAUAGCCGGGAUGUGAUGUGAAAUGACUGUUGUAGCACACGCUGUUGCUACUUACACAAGCAUACGUCGUAACGUUAUCCAAGGCAGUGGCACAUGUCGGUUGAUCCAUAAUACUCCAUGAGAUGCUCGCCGAGGCGUAGUUAACGUUGAUGGUGUCCUGUAGCGCACUAUGGUCAGUGAGCUCGCGGCUACGGUUGACGACAAACUUUAACUGGAUGGCACUAAGAUAAUUAUCAAACUCGAUGGAGCAGCAUCCGGUUCCGUUGCAGUUUUCCCUGGCCACCUUGUCUGUGAUCUUUGCAUCAGGACAGGUGACUGUACAGAGCUUCCAAGUUGUAGUUGCUUGGUCAAUCCAGUACGUGUCCAAAUCACAGCCUGUGAUGUUUAGCACCACGUGAUCAAGAGUGAAAGCUGGGGCUUUCCAGGACAUGUCAUACACAACGACGCCCUGUCUGAUGGGUAUGGAAAGGGAAGGAAUCUGGACACUGAAAUUCAUGAAGCUAGUGCUUCCAUAAGUAGAAGCAUCAAUAUCAUUGGUGACCUCCGUGGUACUGUCCUGAAGGUAGAGCCUCGGAGGCUGCACGGUAUCGUCACAGGUGAGACUGAAAUCAGGAUCCCGGUAGCAGCCGGAGCCAAUGCCAAAUGGGUAGUCAAAGGUCAGGUUGCCACAUCUCGAUGGGCAAUUACCGGCUAACAUGGCACUGGGGAAAUAGGGAUGAGUGUUAUUUCCAUCUUGGCUUGUCAGGACACCAGAAGCUUGCUCAGUGAACACAAAAAGGAGAAGAUAAAACUGUAGACUGAACAGUUUCAUCAUCACCAGUGAAGAAGAGGCUGUCUUCUGAAUCUUAACAGAAACCAAGACUUAUAGAACCACCAGGAAAGGAGAAGGGGGGCUUGAAUUUCCUUUUUUUUUUUCUCGUUUGAAGAGAAGAUUUGGGAGAGGGGGGGAGAGGGGAUGCGAAUGUAGGCAUGGUCUGCCUGCUUUAUAUUGUCUGGACAAUUGAAAAAGGACAUGACAGUGGCUGUGUUGACUGGUGCAAGGGAAGACUGUAAGUGCAAGAUUGCACACGGCAAAGAUGAGGUUCACAAAAACAAGUAUCCAAAGGUUAAGGAAUACACGGCUUUUCGGCAGACCUAGCUAUCAUUUUUCCUAUUCAUAUCCAAUAGCUAUGACUUACUUUGAUAACAUGGCCAAAAAAAUUGGAUUAACUCUGGCGUUCAUUAUUCCCAAAACUAUUGGGUAUAGGAAUGGUCAUGGUGUUACACGCAAAUAAAAAAAUGUGUGAAUGAAUAAUUUUCUCUUAAUCUUGAAUGGCCGCUCUUUUUCGUUCUUCUUCAAAUCAGAACAAACAAUUCAUAACUAUAUUGAUUGUUUAGAUGUGCUUGUAGUUUUGAGUACACAUUCAGUACAAUAAAGUAUGGAGAGUUACUGAUAAAAGUUUAUUUUACUCUUCAGUAUGGGAAAAGGAAAUAGCUCUUUCAAGAGGAGGUAAAGAGAGGGGGAAUGUCUACAAAGGGAAAUAAGAAAAAAGAUGGGUUUCAUAUAUUGCUAGUCAGUCAAUGAAAAUAGCCCUUUGCAGAGGAGCUGCAGAGGGAGGAUGUCUACAAAGGGACAUAAUAGAAAAAAGAUAGAUUUCUAGUCAGUCAAUGAAAAUAGCUCUUUCUAGAUAUCGCCUAGUCAGUCAAUAUGAAAAUAGCUGUUUUCAGAGGAGGUGCAGAAUGAGGAUGUCUGCGAAUGGAAAUAAGAGAAAAGAUAGAUUUUAGAUAUUGCUAGUCAGUCUAUCAAAAAAGCAGCUCCACGUACAUGUAUAUAUGCACACACGGGUUAUCAUGACUCUUGGGUAUAUACUGGUUUCUAUUUUCUUUUCUUUUCUUUUCUUUUCUUUUGUCUUCAGUCAGCAUCAAAGAAUAAGUCCAUGAAAGCACCAAUUGUCAUUCAAUAUAGGGUUAUUAACUAGUAGAUCCAUGCCGUUACAACUUCUAUGGUUUGGGAAUAUACCAAUACAAUUUGCGAAAUUAUAUUCCUUCCGUCCGCUGUUUUGCUUUUUCCAAAUGUAUAGAUAUUAUUAUGCAUCUAGACAUAGGGUAUAUCUAAAUACAUAACAAAAUCUAUGAAUUAAAAAACCAAAACGUUCUAUAAUUUGGAACGGAAGGAGUACUGUUUUAGUUAUUAGUUAUGCUCAUGCCGUUAUAAUUUACCUCUUAUUUACCUUAGGUGAAAAUUUGGAGAAUAAUGCCCUCAUCUUCUUCUCCAUCUCACCCAACAAGUCUUCCUCAUCCGGCAUCCAUGGACGGCGAGUUAUACUCUGACCAUUGACAGUGCGAAUAGACGUAGGCUAGGCAAGGAAGACGCGGGCUGCAACGGAGUGAAGAUGAUUGUGUCCAUCGCGACGCCUGGCAAGCCGUUGCCUACCCGUGGAGCUUCUCUUCUCCCUGGCUACCAAAAUGAGCAGAUCCGACAGAGCAAUGAACAACAAGAAGAUAAUUCAGAACAGGAGAGGGAAGAAAUAAGGAUCACUCAGCACAUUGCAACGCCAACGAAAAUGGGAGCGGCGCAAGAACGUUCACCGAUGCCUGUUGAGUAAACAAAGGAAAUGUACCACUUUGCUUGAAUCAUGCUGCUGUUGCAUGCUGCAGGCCAACCACAGCCACAUGAUGCAUCGUUUUGGGCAUCGCAAGUGAAGCUUCACACUGCAUCGUUUUAGGCGAAUGCCAAUUUCCGACUGUGGGACCCACCUUUUAUUUUGGGCAUCCCGGAUUUCUUCUGGCUUCCAGCAAUCUCACCGCCGGUCAAUAAAACGGCGGCUCCACGUCACGUUGAUUGAGGAAUUGACCACGCAGAUACUGGACGAUCGAGCUUGUUUCGUGGACAGCGACGACGCCACAGGCCGUCGGGGGAACGUCCCUGUUGUUUGCUUUCUUCCAGCAAAAUUCAACGCUUUGCCUUGAGUUGAAUGGACUUUUGCGUCAGAUGUGUCACCUGUUACCACGUAGUACGAGUAUGGAAGGGAGAGGCCAGGUAGAUAGUGACAGGACGGCCAGUCUCGAGUCUCCUCAACUCCGGGUCUCCUCGACGCAGUCCAAGGCCUUGUUUAGUUUCCAAAUUGGGAGUGGCAAAGUUUACAUUUUAUCAUAAAUGCGCAACUGUAGUAUUUCGUUUGUAUUUGUAAAUUAUUGUUCAAACAUUGACUAAUUAGGCUUAAAAGAUUCGUCUCGCAAAGUACAACAAAACUGUGCAAUUAAUUUUUGAUUUCGUCUACAUUUAGUACUCUAUGCAUGUACCGCAAGUUUGAUGUGAUGGGGAAUCUUCUUUUUGCAUAGUGUUAAAGUUGGGAAUUUGGAGGUAACUAAACAGGGUCCAAGAUGGAAGAUUUUUCUCUAUUUUAGAAACCUGUCGAAGCAAAGUUGGAGAAGUGCAGUGAAGCACAGACAGUACACCCAUAACGGUUCACAACCAUGUUUUAUCUACUACAGAACGACUGAUCAGAGUAGGGGCCGGCAAAGCAGAGAACACCUUGUGCAUAGUCGCUGGACGACAUACCAGCAACUUCAAAAGAUUGCUAAUCUUACCCUUAAUAGUUUUUAAGGGAAAAAGAGAAAAAAAGAACUCCAACAGUACACCUAAAACUUCCCAAAAGAUUAGCAACGCGAAAAAAAACACUCCUCGCUCCGCAUAUUUUCGCGACGUCCGGUUCUUCCCCAAUCCGUCCGCACGUGUUUUUUCACAGGGCGAGCAGCUGGGCGGGCGGGGCGAGCUGAUCCCCGGGUUGCCGGAGGGGCUGGCACGGCCUGUUGGAGUUGUUCCAAAUUCACUCCAGGAUAUAGGCCGGGCUUCUGACGGACGGUACAGCAUAUACACCCUUGCUAGGGUUUCGUGGAGACCUGAUUCUCUUGUAAGCCGCCAUAGGCGUGUAACCCAAAACUCUUGAGAUAGUGAGAUUGUUGCUGGCUGGUGCCCGUGGUUUUUCCCCUUCACAUCGAAGGGGUUUUCCACGUUAAAUCGUGUGUCUCCUCUGUGGCUUGAUUCUUUACUUCAUAUUUCCAUACGUCGUUCAUAACACGGCCAGUGCUCGCGCUUGCCUAGGCGCAGCCGGCGGCGCCGGCCGACGAUGCAGCUUCGGCAGCGCACAAGCACUCGUCGACCGCGACCUCAAGGGGCCCCGCGAACUCGUACCGGAGCACCGAGGGCCGUGAAUCGGGCCUCUCCCUCACCCAAGCCCCAAGGAGGUGAGGACCCUUUGCUGAAGUCCGCCGUCUAUGAUGCGAUGGAGCGUGGAGGGAAACAAGGGCACUGGAUUCGAUGCCCCCUCCACCUAUGUCCUCAAAGUUCGGUCCUUCCACGCCGCCGCUCCCAUGACGAGGAUGACUUGUUCUGUUCCCUCGGAUUUUCUAUCUCUACCAAAUCAAGCGCCCCCAGUUUCUCUUGAUUGAUUGGAAUUUGCUAGCUUCGGGCGGUCAAUUUCAUGGAUUUGCAGCUUGCGCUGUUGGUGGCAGAGAUGCCGACACCGCGGGCCGCGACUAGCUUCGAGCUGGCGUUGCGAGCAUCACGGCCGGCGCCGACGGAGGCUGUGACGUCCUCUAAGCCGGUGACUGCGAGGCGGCGAGCACCAGCAGCCCGGCAGUACCACAAAUGAGCUGACAGCUGAUAAAAAUGGAAUUUUCACUGAACUGUCAAACUCUGAAUAUUUGGCUGCACCCACGGCGAGGCUCAAGCUCAGGCACUCGACGACUUCAGCAGUGGUGAGAUUAGCUGGAGACGCUGCGCGGAGCACCGUUGCUCACUGGAGCGCACCGAAGGUGACGAGGCGGUGGCGGCGAGGAGGAGCAGCAGGAGGAGGCGAGGAGCCAUGGUGGCAGAGUCGGUGGUGGUCGAAGGAGCGAUGAAGCUCUGUUCUGGAGGUAGAAGGGAUCUGUUCUGGAGGUAGGACCAAUUACGAUAACGUGGCAAAUAUUGGGGAGUAGUUUUAGCGUUCUGCUGUGACCUGAUAUGUUUUUGGAGGAAGAAUUUUUUAGCAUAGCCCAGUACCUCAUUUUGGGGAAAAAUUUUUUAGGGACUCUGGAGUUGCUCUAACCAGGCAGCAAACAAGCGUAGAGUAUCUCGCAAAGUAGCCUGUGCAGACGACGCGCACGUGCUGCGGCCAUGGAGGCAGAGCAUGGCGACGACGAAGGCGACCGCGGUCCCAGCGUGGGCGCGCCUGGAUCAUGUGGCGUCGCAGGCGCACGCGAGCAGGGCGCGAUGCCCCUGCGUACGCUCCCAUGGAUGGACGCGCGCACGUCGAGGCCGGUGUAGAGAUCCGCCAGAAGAACCAGGUACCAGGUCAGCAUCGUCGGCGAUAUGCCAUGUCGCGCCCGACGAGCAGGAAGCCGCUGGUGAGUGGUGACCACGCCCAUCGGAGGCUCUCGUCGCUCGCGGUCGCGGCAAUGCGCGUCCCAUACUGGAAGAACGGCGCAGCGGUGCUCCGACGAGCCGCUGCGACGACCAGGGUGGACGGUAAAUGAAAUACCGUCCACACCCUGGGUCCCUGGCAGCCGUUGGAUCAAGCACGUGCGGUCCAGAUCGUGCAAGGUUUGCACAGGCAGCAGCUCGGCCUCUCCGUCUUCCUCGUCAAUCGUCUCGUGGGCGCGGGAGCUAGGAGCCUAAUGGUGGCCGGUGGGAGCGCGAUGCAGCACGGCGGCGCUGCUCGGGCUCGGCCGCUCGGUGGAGAGUGUCCGUGGGCAAUGCCUGCAAGGAGAUGGACGGUUUCGGAAGGUGCGCGCGGUCGCCGUCUCGAACCCACGUCGUCGUCUUCUCGCCGUCGCCAGCCUGCCUCCUUGUCUAAGUUUUCAACGCAGGUUGAGAUGGUAAGAGAGCGUGACAAGCUGAUAGCUGCAAACACUCGGAGAUGAUGGGAAAGGUUGUAUCAAGAGUGGAAGAAAAAUGACGAGCGCUCUACUGGGUGUCUGGGUCUUCGCCGUGCGAUGGAAGCACCAACAUUCAUCGUGCAGGAGAGGUGCUUGACUUGACGAAGUGGUCCUCAAAACAAACUCAAGCAUUAACGAGUUGGAGUCAAAGAGUCGCUGACACUACGGCAAGGAACCAAAACGUCCGUCGAGACCUCGACUUCGAGGUCCGGCCAUGGCGCCCGUCGUUCCCCUCUUCUUCUGCGCCAUUCUCACCUUCACUGCAGCCGCCGCUGCCUCCGAGGUUGGCGCGCUCCUUGCCUUCAAGCGCGUUCUCACCGUCCCACUCCCACCCGCGGCGGCCGCCUUCUUCGCCACGUGGGACGCUGCGGCAACCUCCCCCUGCGACUUCGCCGGCGUCACGUGCGACCCCGUCGGCCGCGUCAUCACGGCCAUCUCCAUUCAGAGCCAGGGUAUCGCCGCAACGUCGGUACCGUUCGCCGACAUCUGAGGCGCGCUGCCCGCGCUCACGACGCUGUCCCUGCCGGAGAACUCACUCGCCGGCAGCAUCACCAGGGUGACCGCGUGCACGGGGCUGCAGGACCUGACCCUCGCGUUCAACGGCUUCGAUGGCGCCGUACCAAAUGUCUCGCCGCUGACGAAGCUCCGUACUCUAAACUUCUCCUCGAACAGCUUCGCCGGCGCGUUCCCGUGGGCCUCGCUUGCCGCCGCGCCGGACCUCGCCGUGCUCGCGCUCGGCGACAACCCGUUCUUAGUGAGGACGGACUCCUUUCCGGAUGAGGUCACCACAAGCUAACAAACCUCACCGUGUUGUACGUCUCUGCGGCCAACAUCGCCGGCAUCAUCCCGCCGGAGGUCGGCGACCUGGUGAACCUCGUCGACCUCGAGCUCGCCGACAACUACCUCACCGGCGUGAUACCGCCGGAGAUCACCAAGCUCACCGAGCUGUAGCAGCUUGACCUGCACAACAAUUCCCUAUCUGGCCAUCUCCCCGCGGGAUUUGGAAAGCUCACGAAGCUUCAGCACUUUGACGCGUCCAUGAACAACCUCGUUGGCAGUCUCUCCGAGCCCCGGCCCUCACGCAGCUCGUGUCAUUGCUGCUGUCCUACAAUAACUUCUCUGGGAAGGUGCCCCCAGAGUUCGGCAAAUUCAAGGAGCUCGUGGAACUUUACUUGUACAGCAACAACCUCAUCGGGGAAUUGCCACAGAGUCUCGGGAGCUAGGCAAAGUUCAACUUCAUCGAUGUGUCGGAGAACUCCCUGUCGGGGCCGAUCCCGCCGGACAUGUGCAUGGCUCCAUGGUGAGGUUGCUCAUGCUGGACAACAAUGUAAGUAACCGGUGCUCGUAGUCUAAGAGGAGAAGAGGGUGAAUUAGUCAACUUAAAAACUUAACCUAUAACAUCCACUACUUUGCAUGGCUUCAUGGUGAGGCUGCUCAUGCUGGACAACAAUAUAAGUAAUCGGUGCUUGUAGUCUAAGAGGAGGAGAGGGUGAAUUAGUCAACUUAAAAACAUAACCUAUAGCAUCCACUAUUGUGCAUGUAAGUAAAGAAGACCAUUUUAUCGUAGAAGUGCAUUCUAUGGUUGAUCUAGUAUGAAACCCUCAUCCCAAAACAAGUUUUGCAACCUAGAGCCAAUCCUAAAAAAGUAAGGUACUACACUAAGAAAGUAAAGGCACCCAAGUUGCAAGUACGAAAUGUGGAAAUGUAAGAGGUUAGGAUGAAGGGAAGCAAACUCUUGACACGAUGAUUUAUCUUGUGGUAUCAGUAGGCACUAAGCCACCACUACUCCACAUUGUUGAAGCACUCACACAAGAGUAUUGCUUCCCAGUCACCAAGUCUCUCCCAAGGCACCCCUUGACUUGCCACAAAGGCUCGGCCACUGAGGCACACGCCAAGUUUUUCGGUCACCUUGAUGCCGUUUCCACUAAAGAGCUUCUCCACGAAGUGAAGGGUGUCUCCAUGUCCCUCGCACAAGGUCGUCAACGCCGCUCCACACCAAGCCGGAGGGUCAAAAACUUGCCAGCGAGCCACCAAGACUCCAAGGCGCCGGCACACUUCUUGUACAGCGGUAGUUCACUCUAGAACCUGGUCACAAGGUUGGCACACCUUGCACUCACUCCUAUCUAGGGCUAUCCUAGCACUAAUCACUCUCCUAAGCUUGUGCUAAGCCUUUGAUGAAUCACUUAAGCACUUUUGGUGGCUUGGAUGUGUUCUUGAUGAGUUUUGGUCUUCAAUGCAUCCCAAGACACUCCAGCAACUCCAAAUGGGCGAGUAGUGGGGGUAUAAAUAGCCCCAAAGGCUGAAAGAGCCGUUGCUCUAACGGCUAGUUAAAAAGUAUAUCAUCCGAUGUUCCGAUGGUCUAUUUCUAGCCUACAUCAGAACAUCCGGUACAACUAACCGUUGGCUCCCACGCCCAACUUUUUCACUGACAUAUCCAAAAUUCAUCCGACGCUUCAUCCGAUGCACCCAUCGGAUCAUCCGGUGCUUAAGAGUUUUCUGGCCGAAACCUUCUGUCCGAUUUCAAAGUAAAUAUGCUCUGUCCGAUGUUCCUUUUGUGCCUUCCAUCGGAUCAUCCAAUGCUGCUUGAUUUUCUUCAACUUCCAAACCUGUCCCUCAGAAUUUGUCCGACGCUACUAGAAAAGGGAUCAUCCGAUGGUUGACUUUGGCUUGACUUCAUUUCAGCGUACCAAUUGCUCCGACGCUCAUCUGGGGGCCAUCAGAACAUCCAAUGGUGUAUUUUCCUGGAUUUCUUCAUUUCUUCGCUUGUCUUUGGUUGUGGUUGGUUUCUUGGGACCUAGAAUACCUUCAAGACGUGUUCUAACCAAUUUGUUAGUCCUAAUGACCAUGUUGUCAUUGAAUCACCGAACAAAUGGCUUAUUAAGGCCAUGUUCGCUACAAUCUCUCUCUUUUUGGUGAUUGAUGACAACACAAUUAAAGCAAGCAUAAAAUCAACACAAUCAUCCAACCUUCCCCUUUGAACAUCUUCAUUUGACUUCCCCUUGAUGUACUUCUCCCUUUUUCUUGUAUUUCUCCCCCUAUGUAUGUUCACACAUAGGUUCUUGCAUUGGCUCUUGCUUGAUUCCACAUUUCUUCCCCUUUGGAAUCAAAUCGCUAAAAAGACAAUCUCUUCCAUUUGUAAGCCUACGAGACCUUGCAAACAUAGUUCAAAGAAAAACAUUAGUAACCUAGAGAGAUAGCUUCAUGAAAUAUGAUCCACAUAUGAUGGUACCAAUGAAGAUACCACUUGUAGACUAUUAGGAUGGAUCAACAGUUCAUGAAACUAGCAUGAUACAAGCUAAGCUCCCCCUAUGUGUGUGCACAACAAGAUAGUGUGAAAAACAAGUGCACAACUAGAUAUGCGAGCAAAGGAAGCUUAGAACAUAUCAUGCAUGGAGGUAGCUCAUAAGAUAAAUGAUUUAACAAGAAUACCACUUGGAAGAUUAAGCAAUGCAUACCUCCAGGGAAAAAUCUUUUACCUUGAUGGCACCACUUGAGAUGAGCCACUUGAAAAUGAUAUCACUUGAAGAUGACACCACUUGAAAGGGGCUAACAAGAGAAACACAUGAGGUACCACAAGGAUAAGAAAUGUAUGAAUGCAUUUUCUUUGAACUUAUAUAUGAGAUGUAAGUUCGCAAGGACAUGACUCAAUAAGCAUGAAUGCUCAAAUUGCUAUAGUCACUCUUAUAGAGUUGUUAGUUCACAUUGAGAGUGAAAUAGCAUUCUCUUAGAGUGAUGCACCGGAUUGUGAAUGCGCCAUUAAGAGACUACACAAGAUAAGCUUGAAAAUAAGUUAGUCUCAAAGUCACAAAAGCUCCCCCUAAAUGUGUGCAUUUAGUGUCUGAAUCACCAACCAAGAGUAUGCACAUUUUUUUUUGACAACAAAAGGGAAGCUAACCCUAUAGAAUGUGCUCAUGUACAAAAGAUAAUAAAUGAAAGAGCAUGUAUCAUGAAAGAACCACACAUAUCAAACCAUGUAGGUUGCUCGUGGGUUAGAGAGAUACACAAGCAACCUACCAUAUAAAAACAACUAAGCAUUACAACAUAUAUCAUAUGAGAACACAAUGCAAUCCUAGACAUGGCAAUGGAGCUACAAUGAUGCUUGAGUUGGGUUCUAACUACCAUUACCUUUGGAUGGGGGACUUGGGCAUAUAUGUCUAAUGUUGUGAGCUUAGCUUCUUAGACUUGAAUCUUCAUCUUCUUGUGAGCCAAGCCUUCAAAUCCCCCGUAGCUGAUCAUGGGCUUCACAUGUCUUUUGGAACCCAAACCAUUUGAGACCCUUUCAUGUUGGUGAUCACUUCCUUGGGCACCCAAAUGGGUCGAUUCCAACCCCACUCCUUCUUCAUCUUCCCAACCUUAUGUGCAAUCACCUUUCCACUAGUCUUUUUCUUGAUGACGUAGGUGUUGCUCUUGGCCUUGUUAUUGUGGUUGGGCUUGGUGUAGAUGAGGGAGCUCUUGAUGGUAAAGUUCAUCUUCUUCACUUGAGGGCAUUGGUAGGACUUGUGGCCUUCUUCAUGACACUUGAAGCAAGUCACGGUUGCUCCCUUCUCAAGCUUCUUCACCAUGUGAUCACGAUUAUUUUGAGAAGGUUGGACGUUACUCUUCUUAUCUUGAGAAGCUUGUACAUUGUCUGCCUUGUCCAUGCCCUUCAACUUGGCCAAUUUUCCCAUGAGCCAUUUCACUUCUUGCUUGAGCUCAUCAUUCUCCUUGGCAAUGAGAUCAUCACAUGAUUAUAUAACAAUAUUCUCAAAGGAUUUGUCAUUGCAAGAUGGUGAGCAAGAUUCAUGAAUUAAGUCAAAGCAAGAAGUUGAAACAUCUAUCUUAGAUAUAGGAAUUGCACAAAGGAUAGAUGAUUCAUCUAGCUCCAAGGAAUUCUUAGUUUCAAUUCCAAUGCUCUCAAUUUUAGAUUUGAGCUCUUCAUGCUCCUUGCUAAGUAAGUUGAACUUGCACAACAAAUUUUCAUAAUUUGUAGCAAGAGUAGCAUUAAGGUCAUUGAGAGCAUUGAGUUCUUUUAUUUGCUUAGAUUGUUUCUUAAUGAUUCCUUUUUGCUCAUGGAUUAGCUCAAGAAGAUCAUCAAUAGAAGGAGAAUCGGAUUCAUCAUCACUUACAUUGCUUUCUAUACCUCGGGCCAUAAGGCAAAAAUGUGAUGAUGAUGAGGGACCUUGCAUGAAGCGAGUGGUGAAGUUCUUGCUUGAUUCAUCACUUGAGCUACAAGAACUUGAUUCUCCACCGCUUAUCCAUUCACGGACGACGGUGAGUGCUUCUUGCUUGGGCUUCAUCUCCUUCUUCUUUUUCUUGUGCUUGAUCUUCAUGAUCUUCACUUGUUGAUGAUGACGUCCUUCUCUCAAGUGAACAUUGUAGCCGUACAUGUUGUUCUUUUUCACGUACUUUAAGACCUUCUUGGCAUACACAUUUACCAAGGAUUUGGUUUCUUCAUCACUUGAGAAGCUUUUGUCAUCAUCAUCUUCUUCUUCUUCUUCUUCUUCUUCUUCUUCUUCACUUGAGCUUCUCUGAGUUGCCUUCUUCCUCAACUUCUUCUCUUGUUGACUUGAAAGAGCAAGACUUUGAGUUGGAGAAGAUGGUUCCUUGGGCUUGUCCUCGAGUUGCACCUUGGGCUUGUCCAUUAGCUGGAGCUCAAAUGCUAUGAUCUUGUUUAAGAUAUGAUUUGGAGUUAACUCAUCGAGCUUCUUUUCAAAGAGAAUUGCCUUCACCAAAUCAUAAUCCGGCUUCCAGAGGCUAUGAAGGAUCUUGCAAUUGAGUUCCGCAUUCUUGAUGUUCUUCACACCUAAAGCAUUGAUAUCAUUCACAAGAACAUUCAAGCGUGAGUACAUAGCCUCGAGAUUCUCAUUAUCAAGUUGCUUAAAGCUAUUUAGCUUAUCAAUGAGAAUAUCGUAUCUUUCAUUAGAUACGUCCUUUGAUCCCUCAUUGUUCUCUUUGAUAGUCAUUCAUAGCUCGUUAGCAUUUUCACAAGUAAAAACACGAUUGAAAACACUUUCACUAAGUGAGGACAAAAUGAUGCUCUUGAUAAUCACAUCAUAUUAUUUUUCUUGUUGCCCUUUAUUUUUCAUGCCCUCACUACUAACUCUCCAAAUAUUUAGGCCCUUAGCUUGGAGAAAUGCUUCCCUGAGAACUUUUCAAUGUGGAUAGCCUGUGUCAUCAAAAUGUGGAGCCAAACCUAUUGUAUCCAUCCCUUUCCCUUAUCAAGCUAACUCACAAGGUGGUGAAGGCUAACCAUUUUUAAUGAGCCGAUUUCACAAUUUGCCAAUGAAAUUGGCGAUUCUUUGUGAAAUAUGUGAGUCUCGGCUUUGAUACCACGUGUAAGGAAUUGGUGCUCGUAGCCUAAGAGGGGGAGGGGGUGAAUCAGGCAACUUAAAAACUUAACCUAUGGCAUCCACUAUUUUGCAUGUAAGUAAACUAGACCAUUUUAUCCUAGAAGUGCAUUGUAGUAUGAAACCCUCAUCCCAAAACAAGUUUUGCAACCUAGAGCCAAUCCUAACAAGGUAAGGUACUACACUAAGAAAGUAAAGGCACCCAAGUUGUAAGUAUUAAAAUACGGAAACGUAAGAGGUUAGGAUGAAGGGAAGUAAACUCUUGACACAAUGAUUUAUCCCGUGGUAUCGGUAGUCACUAAGCCACCACUAGUCCACGUUGUUGAAACACUCACAUAAGAGUAUUGCUUCCCGAUCACCAAGUUUGUCCCAAGGCACCCUUUGACUUGCCACAGAGGCUCGGCCACUAAGGCACACGCUAAGUUCCUCGGUCACCUUGAUGCCAUUUCUACUAAGGAGCUUCUCCAUGAAGUGAAGGGGGUCUCCACGUCCCCCGCACAAGGUCAUCAAUGCUGCUCCACACCAAGCCGGAGGGUCGAAGACUUGCCGGCGAGCCACCAAGGCUCCAAGGUACCGGCACACCUCUUGUACAGCGGUGGUUCACUCUAGAACCUGGUCACAAGGUUGGCACACCUUGCACUCACUCCUCUCUAAGGCUAUCCUAGCACUAAUCACUCUCCUAACCUUGUGCUAAGCCUUUGAUGAAUCACUGAAGCACUUUUGGUGGCUUUGGAUGUGUUCUUGAUGAGUCUUGAUUUUCAAUGCGUCCCAAGACACUCUAGCAACUCCAAAUGGGCAAGUAGUGGGGGUAUAAAUAGCCUCAAAGGCUGAAAGAGCCGUUGCUCUAACGGCUAGUUAAAAAGUAUAUCAUUGGAUGUUCUGAUGGUCUAUUUCUAGCCUGCAUCGGAAUAUCCGGUGCAACUAGCCAUUGGCUCCCCACACCCAACUUUUUCACUGACAUAUCCAAAAUUCAUCCGGUGCUGAAGAGCUUUCUAGCCGAAACCUUUUGUCUGAUUUCAAAGUAAAUAUGUUUUGUCCGACGCUCCUUUUGUGCCUUCCAUCGGAUCAUCCGGUGCUGCUUGAUUUUCUUCGUCUUCCAAGCCUGUCCCUUAGAAUUUGUCUGACGCUACUAGAAAAGGGACCAUCGGAUCAUCCGAUGGUUGACUUUAGCUUGACUUCAUUUUAGCGUACCAAUUGCUCCGACACUCAUCUGGGGGCUAUCAGAACAUCCGAUGGUGUGUUUUCCUAUAUGUCUCCGUUUCUUCGCUUGUCUUUGGUUGUGGUUGCUUCCUUGGGACCUAGAAUACCUUCAAGACAUGUUCUAACCAAUUUGUUAGUUCCAAUGACCAUGUUAUCAUUGAAUCAGUAAAAUCAUGAACAAAUGGCUUAUUAAGGCCAUGUUCGCUACAAACAACUUCUCUGGCGAGAUAUCAGCAACCUUUGCAAGCUACAAGACACUCAUGAGGUUCCGCGUCGGCAAUAACUCACUCUCCGGCGAUGUGCCCGAGGGGCUGUGGGCCCUACCAAAUGUCAUCGUCUUUGACCUAGCAAAGAACCAUUUCAACGGCAGCAUCAGCUCUGGCAUCGGGAAUUCAUGGGCAUUAAAUUUUAUGCCACAUCAGCAAUUUUGCUGGCUUGGUAAGGUCAUUUAUGAGGAGAGUUUCAUUAGAUGUGAGAGAAGUUUCAUCCCCAUAACACUCCGCUGGCACAGUUACCUAGUUCUUAGUCUUGGUAACUGUGCACUGAGACUAGCCUUACCGGUCUUCUACUAGCCGGCAACCGGUUCUCCGGCGCAAUACCAUCAACAAUUGGGAACGCGACUAAUAUUCACUUGGUAGAUAUGUCAUCUAAUGCAAUCUCUAGCACGAUACCAUCUUCGAUAGGGAACAUAACCUAUAUUUGGACCAUAGACAUGUCCUCUAACGAAAUCUUCGGCAAGAUACCGGAGAGCAUCGGGAAUUUGGCCUAUCUCACAAAGCUUUCCCUUGUAGCGAAUUAGAUAAACGGCGCUAUGCCAUAGCUCCUAUGUUACCCUGUAGGCCAGGGCACCACGAGACCGGCUAAUAACGAGGACAUCGCCCUCAUCUGUUCCUGUGCUACUUUCGCCUCUCCCAAUGACACAACGGCAUUAAUUAGGGUAAAUUGAGAAGGUUGUCGAUGGCUCUCUCACAAGAAAAUUUUCACACCGUAUGUUUGCAUCGACCCCCAUCUUGGCCGAAACCUCAUUCUCAGUUGGGGUCAGUGGUCAAGUUAACGGAUCAAGAGAAAAAUAUCGGGGAUGGCCAGUAAGAUCGGUACACUGAUUUUCGGCUGAAAUUUCGACCGAAAUUUUUGAAAUCGAGCCAAAUUUUGACUGAAAUUUGAAAGAUCAGCCCAAAUGCCGGUCGGAAAGUGAUCAGUAUGUACUGGUAUGACUAUUUACCGGUGUUCGACGAAAUUCAGCCGAAAUUAUGAACCCUGGUUGGGGUUCUAGCAAUCAAUGUCCUCGUUUGGAAAAUCCUCAAGAGUGGGGUUGGACAGGGACAGAGCUAUCAGGAUCACUGAGCUUGAUUUGGAGUUUGAAUUGGACGGUUGGACGGUUUAUAUAUGUAUUUCGAUCGUCUUGAGUAGGGAUCUGCAAUGCUAAUGCCCAAAUUGUAAUAUAAGACCUCUACAAAAUCGGAAGUUCCGGUUUAUCAGCCGUGCCAAUUUUGGUUAUCAAAAUAUACCCCCUAUUUCUUUUUUGGAAAAGCUUGUGUACCAAUAAAAAUUAUCAUGACUAAAAUUGCCUUAGGAAGAUGAUGAACACACAUCGGCCAUGUAUUUUCCUAAGGGCGAUACAAUUCCAUCGGCCAUAACAUUUGUAUGUGAUGUUGCAUUUCAUGUUCUCUUGCAUGGUGUUUUGUCUGGAAAAUACAUUUUCAAAAUGCGAAAAGAUCAAAUAGGUUUUGCUCUUUUUUAAAAAAAAAAGUUUUGAAUUGAAUUUUUUUUAAAUCAAGUUUUAGAGCUGGAAAAUUUGCACCAAAUUUUCAUCCCAGUCUCCUUUGUUUCUUUUUCUUCUAUCUAUUUUCGGCCAAAUUCCACGGCCACAGCACAACCAGCUCCCUCUUUCCUUCUCACUUCCUGGAGGACCCACCCGUCAGGGUCAUCUUCUAGCUCCAGCACCCUUUUCCCCUCCUCUGUUCUGUGCCCACCGAGCCGAGCUCAUUCCACCUCCCAUGGCCACCCUCUCCUUUUCUCGUCAGUGCGUCCCAAGUGCGCCACCAGUACCAGCUCGCCUCCCCUCCACUAUGGUGUCAAUGGUGUCUCCAUCUGCAGUGACGCAACAUGGCCGUCGACUCGCCACCCAAAAGUCAUACAAUCCAAAUGCCUAUCCUUAUCCCAAAAGAAAAAAAAAACAGACAGACAAACAAAUGCCUAUCAAGAUGUACUCUUAAGUCCAAGGACAAAGAAAGAGGCCAUUCGACAUGACUUGGACUGCUACAUGUGUUUUGACUGAAAGAGUGUUCUGCUAAUUUGGUUAGUUUCCACUUACAAAAGAAAAAAGUGGCGCCACUAUUUGUUGUUUUGCUGCUGUGCUGCACCAGCGAGCGAGGACUCUGCAUUUGACAGAUUGCGCCUCAAAGCAUGAGUACUCUGCAUGUGCUCGUCCUCGUGCUCCUGCUCCAUUCUAUGUGCAGUCAUGCAUCUUCCUCCUUGGAGCAGCAAGUGGCUGGUGGUGAUCGAAGAGCCCUGCUGGCAAUCAAGCUGGAGCUCUCCGACCCCAUGGGCUGGCUGAGCUCGUGGAACAGAACAAGCUCCGAUGUCUGCCAGUGGACCGGCGUGACAUGCAGCCGCCAGCACCCUGGCAGGGUGGCGUCGCUGGACUUGUCAUCGAGACAGCUCUCGGGCAUCGUCUCUCCAGCGAUCGGCAACCUCACGUUCCUGCGGAAGCUCAACCUGGAAUCCAACAUGCUGGCCGGCGAGGUGCCACUCACCGUCGGCCGGCUACGCCGCCUGCGUUUCCUUUCUCUGUUCAACAACUCCUUCCGUGGUGAGAUCCCUCGAGAAAUAUGCAACUGCUCCAACCUAGUCCGACUUUCCCUCGGAGUCAACCAAAUGGAAGGUGAAAUUCCUGCUGGGCUUGGAUUGCUGUCUCAGCUUCACAUCCUCUACAUCCACUACAAUAAUUUGGUAGGAAGCAUCCCACCAUCACUUGGUAAUCUUACCUUGCUUGAGACUCUUGAUGUCCUUGAGAACAGACUGGUAGGGAGCAUACCUGCAAGUCUUUCCCAUUUAGACCAUCUCAGAUCCUUUGAGGUGGGUAGAAAUAAUCUCUCCGGCACAAUUCCACCACUGCUCUUCAACAAAUCAUCGCUUCAAUAUUUCGGAGUUGCAUCGAACAAGCUGCAUGGAAGCUUGCCAGCUGAUGCAGGCGCCAACCUGCCGACUCUCAGAAAGUUCUUUUUGGGUAACAACCGGCUGUCUGGAACAAUUCCUAGUUCACUUGGUAACGCCACCAUGGUACAAGUGUUAGGUCUUGCACAGAACAGAUUCCAAGGGAGGGUGGCACCUGAGAUAGGGAAGCUCUGCCCAUUCGAAGUCCAGAUGGGUGUAAAUCAGCUGCAGGCAGAAGAUGAACAGGGUUGGGAGUUCUUCACUCUGUUUACAAACUGCACUCGUCUUCAACUGAUAGAUCUACCCCUCAACAGGCUAGGAGGCGUGCUUCCUACUUCCAUCGCAAAUUUUUCGACACAGAUCCAAUGGCUCAGCAUUGCGGCCAAUGGCAUCUCUGGAGUGGUCCCUUCAGGCCUGGGGAAUCUUGUCAACCUUAGCAACCUAGACAUGACUGAAAACAACCUGCAUGGUGUAAUUCCUGAAGAUAUCGCAAAACUUACAAGUCUGCAAGUAUUGUUGGUUGGAGAUAACCAAUUGUCAGGAAAUAUACCAUCUUCCUUCGGCAACCUCACACAACUUCAAAUGUUUUCCUUGUCAAACAAUAGGCUUGAUGGCCCCAUUCCUAGAAGCCUUGGUAACUUGACAAACUUACCUAACCUGGAUUUGUCCUCCAAUCUGCUCACUGGUUUUAUCCCUACUGAGAUAUUUGGCCUUCCGUUACUGACAGAUUACCUAUUGCUAUCUGAUAAUUACUUAUCCGGAGCUAUUCCUCCACAAGUUGGCAGCCUUAAACAUAUCCAAACUCUCAAUCUUUCGAAAAACAAUUUUUCCGGAGAAAUACCAACUAUAAUUGGUGAUUGUGCAUCUCUGGUCUACCUUGGCUUGGCUGACAACUAUUUCACAGGUAGGAUUCCCAAGUCGCUUGGUAAUCUGAGAGGCCUCAACACACUGAACCUCACAAGGAAUGCUUUGUCAGGCAGAAUACCGCAAGAGUUGGGUAACAUCAACGGCUUACAGGAAUUAUAUCUGGCACAUAAUAAUUUUUCCGGAAUCAUUCCAAAAGUUUUUGAGAACAUAAGUACCUUGGUUCAACUAGACCUCUCCUUUAAUAAUCUUGAUGGUGAGGUUCCAUCCCACGGGGUGUUUGCUAACAUGACUGGAUUCUCAAUGGUUGGAAAUGAUGGGCUCUGUGGUGGCAUUCGAGAGCUAGAAUUGCCUCCAUGUCAGGAUAUGCCUCAUAAGAAGCGCCAUCACACAUUGCUUAGGGUUGUGCUUCCCAUUGCUGGUGCUAUUAUAUGCAUCUCUCUUCUAUUGUUUCUGCUCUUUCUGUUAAAGUGGAAAAUAACACCUGAGAAGAUGAAAACUGAUAACCGUAUUGGGUUGACGGACAAGUAUCCCAGAGUUUCCUACCUUGAAUUGUUUGAAGCUACUGAUGGAUUUGCACCCGCGAAUCUGGUAGGCGCAGGAAAAUAUGGUUCUGUAUAUAAAGGAAGUCUGUCUCUUCCGGCAGUCAGAAAUGCUGCCGUAGCUGUGAAAGUGUUCACUCUUCAGCAAUCUGGUUCUUCAAGAAGUUUCUUGGCAGAAUGUGGGGCUCUGAGACGGGUGAAACAUCGGAAUUUGAUCAAUAUUAUUACCUGCUGCUCUAGUGUUGACACUAGAGGCAACGACUUCCAGGCACUAGUAUUUGAGUUCAUGCCCAACUACAGCCUGGAUAGAUGGCUGCAUCCGCGAACAGAUGAGCAGCUGCACAAGUUAAAUCUAAUCCAACUCUUGAAUAUUGCAGUUGAUGUUGCAGAUGCAAUAGAUUAUCUUCACAACAAUAGUCGGCCAUCAGUCAUCCAUUGUGAUUUGAAGCCCAACAACAUCCUCCUUGAUAGUGACUGGACUGCUUACGUCGCUGACUUCGGACUCUCAAAACUGAUUGGUGAAUCUGUGAACAUAUCUGGCUCAUAUACUGGAAGCUCCAUAGGGAUAAGAGGAACCGUUGGGUACGUUGCUCCAGGUAAUUGUAAUGUCCACCGUACGCAAUUCUUAACCAACUUAGUUUGUGCACAAAUCAGAACUGAGAAUUUAAUCAUCAACAUACUUGUUGUCGCAGAAUAUGGAGCAGGUGGGCCUGUAUCCACUGCCGGUGAUGCUUACAGCUUCGGGAUUACCCUUCUGGAGAUGUUCACAGGGAGAGCACCAACUGACGAUAUGUUCAGAGAAGGCUUGAGCUUGCACUUGUUUGCUGAGAUGGCAUUACCUGACAAGUUGACAGAAAUAGUGGAUACAGUGCUAUUAGAGGUGCAACCAUGUGAAAACGCUGCAAAGGAUGACAAAAUACUGGCUUGCUUAGCUUCGGUUGUCAGAGUCGGCAUCUCGUGCUCAAAGCAAAUCCCGUCAGAAAGAAUGAGCAUGAAAGAUGCAGCCAUUGAGCUGCAUAGAAUCAGAUACGUGGUAAUGGAGCCCUCUAUAUAGGAUCGGAAUUUUGAUUCCCCCUAGUGUUCUCCUGGUCCUGCUGUACUUUUCAGGCCGCAACUGAAAACAAUAGAAAUUUCCUUGAGGAAAUGUGGUACAGUGCCUCCACAUACAUAACGAAAGUCUGAGGCAGCCAUACAUGAUAGAGAAGCAUGAAUCUGUCAAGCAAAAUGGCACCAUCAGACUGCAUGUAUGUAUUUAUUUGGUACUUAAUAAAGCAUGCCGUGCAAAAUGUAAGUUUCCCCCCCUAUUUUAUAAACAUGCCAAAGCAAUGUUGGAGUGCAGUGAAGGAGAGUAUAUUCAUAACGGCUCACAACCACGUUCUAUCAGUAUUUCAGAACGAUUGGUCAGAGUAGGAGCCGGCAGGCAUGCUCAUGCACAUUCCUGAGCAUUGGUCCCUCGCAGGCAAAGCAGCGAACACCUUGGGCACAGCCGCCGGCGACAUGCCUAACGAGGAAGCAAACGAGCAGAGACGAUGAUGGUAUUGCGGUCAGGCGUGCGUACCUUGCAAAGUAGCCUGUGUGGACGACACGCACGCGUUGCGGCAUGGAACCAUGGAGGCGAGAGCGUGGCGAAGACGAAGGCGACCGUGGUCCCGGUGUGGGCGCGCCUGGAUCACAUGGCGUCGCGCCGUCGCCGUCGCCGGCGCACGCGAGCAGGGUGAGACGCCCCUGCGUACGUUCCCGUGGCUGGGAGCGCGAACCACGUCGAGGCCGGUGGAUACUGGCAAGAAGAACAGCUGAACAAGGUCAGCGUCGCCGGCGAUGUCAUGUCGCGCCCGGCGAGCACGAAGCUGCUAGUGACCACGCCACCGGAGGUUCUCGUCGCUCGCGGUCGCGGCAAAACGUGACCAGGACACUGGGUGUGGUCCCAGACUUGAAGACCGGCGGGGCGGCGCUCCGGCGAGCAACAAGCCGACGACAAGGGGGUGGACGGUAAACGAAAUGACGACCGGGGGUGGAUACCUGACAGCCGUUGGAUGUAGCAGUGCGGUCCAGAUCGGGCGAGAUUUGCAUAGGCAGCCCUCUCGCGGGCGCGGGCGCGCGGGAGCUUGGUGUCGCCAUGCUAGAGGCCAGACGGCGGGAGCACGAUGCCGCGCGGAGGCGCUCUGCGCCGAGGGCCUGCCGGUCGCGCUGCCCGCGCUCGCGGCGUUGUCCCUGCCGUCUCCGUGCGAGGCCUGGGCAUUGCCGCCGCGUCGGUCCCGUUCGCCGGCAUCUGCGGCGCUGUCCCUGCCCGUGCCCGAGAACGCGCUCGCCGGCGUCAUCGGCGAGGUGGCCGCGUGGCGUGCACGGGGCUCCAGGACCUGACGCUCGCGUUCAAACGGCUUCGGUGGCGCCGUGCCAAAUGGCCCAAACCUCUCGCCGCCGACGAAGCUCCGUACUCUCAAGAAUCUCCUCGAACAGCGCUUUGCCGGCGCGUUCCUGAUGACUUCCCGUGGGCAUCCCUCGCCGCCGCGCCGAUGUGUUCUACGUAGUAGCAAUGCACGAGGAAAUUUUCACGCGGUGUGUUCGCAUCAGUCCCUGUUCUUGAUCAGUUGGGGUACUAUCAAAUAUCAAUCAAAUGUCCUCGUUUGGAAAAUCUUCGGAGUUGGGUUGGACAGGGACCGAGCUAAGCUAGCGCCCAAAUGCUGUACUGCCUGAAGAGUGAAGAUUCCGUGCGUGGCAGCUCAUUUCGUGGUAGAGAGACAGACUGCUUUUAGUUGUGAAUUUCUAAAAAAAAAAGCACUCGCGAGAAACUGUUCGGCUGAAUUUAUAAGCCGGCUGAAAAGCUAAAACGAUUGAUUUGUUAUGAGAGAAAAACAUUAUUCGGUGGCUGAUAAAGAAGCGAAUAGGCUCAGAGAAACGAGAGCAGGUGCUGCCAGCAUUUCCUCGAUCGGAUUACAAAAUUGUAGUAGCUCUUUGCCCUUCGACGUAUACGCUUCCGCUCCUUUUCUUCGAAGGGGUGGGUGAAGAUGAAGCCCAGCAAAUGGAAAUGGGAAUGGAAGGACGGAUGCCGGCUUGGUUGCUUCGUUCCCACGAUCGAGGAGACUAACCGUCCGACCUUGACUGAAGUCCAAACGAUGCCACGAUCUCGGCUUAUAAAAAUGCCUAAAAAUUGUGAUGCUUGGCGUGCUCACUCAGGAUGUCUAUCUUCGUGAGGAGCCCCACGGGCAGGACAAUCCGCCUCCGGGUCCAACCAUCAGGUACAUUGUAUAAUGUUAAGGAAAAGAUUUUGGAACAACACCGCCUUGCCUUUGAUGGAGAGCAGCUAGACGACAACCUUACACUAGCUGAUUGCGACAUCCAGCAUGAACAACACCGCCCAGCUAUUCGGCAUGCGGCCCAGUUCGCUUCAGGGUUGCAGCUGUUGCUGUACAGCCCAGCCGUUCGGCAGGGCCCAAAACAGCAACAAGCCAGCAGGCCAGCCCAACGGCUGCAAGGCCCAGGCUGUUCCGGUCUCCUACCCGUCAGCGCCAGGCCUGCCCCCGUCCUCUCCACUCUCCUCCUCGGUCCGUUCUUCCGCCUCCCGUCUCCCGUCGCCUCCCACCGAAGGCCGAUCCGCCGCCCCGCACUCCGCCCGGCCCUGCCGCCCACUCCGCCUCCGGCCGGCCCCUCCUCCGCCGCCGGCCAGCCCCGCCCCGCCGCCCUCCGCCCCGCCGUCGCCGCCCCGCCUCACCAGCGACGGGACCUCGCCGGGCCGGCGUCGACGCACUGCCGCGUCUCCGCCCGCCAACGUGAGUAUCCCUCCAAUCUCCAAUCCUCUCCAUUCUCGAUCUGCACGUUUGAAUGCUGCUAGAUUAGGCAGUAAGAUCUCGUGUGCCUUCACUUUUGUUAUCUACACUAUUGUGAACCAUUAUUCUGCUCUGUAGUAUAAUUUUGUAGUAGGCAAACAAUCCAUUGCACCAAUUUUACUUACUGCUCAUCUUUAGCAAGAGGCAAAUUGUUCCAAAUCUGAAACUCAAGUGAUCACCUCUGAACUUGCAUACUACUGGUGUGCUUUUGUCAGCUGCACUGACCAAUACCUCUAAUUGAAAGGGCUGCAUUGUUGGCAAUCUCUGCCCAUUGUUGCAUUGCCUGCUUGCUCUGCCUUGCCCUCGGAAAUCAACUGACGCUGAUCUAUCUGACUGAACUGGACGGUGCACCUUCUAAUUGACAACGGCUGCAUCAUACUCACAGCCGCUACUCUGGACUGCCACAAAUGCAGCCAUCACCACCACGGGCAUUGCUAUUUUGCAUCUGCACUGCUGCUGCUUUCAUCUUGUUAGUGGCUAGUUUUAGUGAUAUAAACCACUGAAUCCACUCAGUAACAUUCAGUGGGUGCGAACUGGGAAGUGGCAACUAAUCAUUGCUAUUUGCUUCCUGCUAAAAUUAGCUGCCUUUAAAUUCUCUCCUCCCUUUUGACAGUAAAUAUUAUUAUUAUUCUUUUUUUUGCUCAUUACUAUUUACUUCCUGCAUUAAAAUAUGACAAUGUUUUGACUGCCUUUUAAAUUUUUAAAACAAACGCGCCAAGACAACUGCUAAGGCAAGUGACAUGUUCAUUACGUACAUCAUGGACCAAGAAUUUGAAAAGAGGGUAUGCCUAGCCAAAAAUUCCAAUAGAAAAUAUGGUGUAAUCCAAUAAAUGAUUCUCUAACAAAGAAUCAUGUGUGCACGAUAGUUUACAAACUGUGUUCUCAUAUUUUGAUAAAGAAAUCAGGGAAGCGUUAUCACCAGCAUAAUUUGAGUAGCAGCAGGAGCAUGGAACGAGCGAAAUAAUAGAUCGCAUACUGUCAACGAUAAACAUGAACAAAGCACCCAAACAGCUCCAUAUUUCCUCGACCAAUUUUAAUUUAACUAAUCAGUAAUCCUCUGGUUCAUUCAAGCAUCACGAUGAAGGGUUGAAGCGGGAUGGAGAUGGAGUAGAGCACCUAUCGCGGUGAGGGGAUUUGACGACAGGGCAGAGCGUGGGGAGUGGAGAACGGGCGGGCGAAAUGGCGGUGGCGCCUGGCAGUCCGCGGCAGAUGGAGCGGCGGGCCGGCAGCCAAGUGGGGCGGAGCCUGUGCGCAAUGGGAGGAAGCGGGGGCGCGCGGCGGCUGAGGGGUUGAGUUGGGGUGGGGAUCUGGGGUUUGGAUGCGCGGCGGCAGCAGGGUGUCGAAGCAGCAGCUACUUGGAUAGAUGGCACCGUUCAUUGGGCCGGGUCUACACGGUCACAGAUUGGGCUGAGCUCUGUUUCUUUAAUUGAAUUCUGAGUUCUUCCGAUCACUAGAAGAAAUUAUUUACAUUUUCUUGCGAAAAAAAUCAUCUACAUAAUUUUGUCAUUUCCGUUCGUGACACCACCCAUUCUCAUGUAAACCUUUUUUAGACGAAGGGUCCAGGCAUGGACAGGGCAGAUCUGAUGGUCCGUUUUCCUUUGUUAUAAAAAGAAAAACAGACCAUCAGAUCUGCCCUGUCCUUUAUGCCUGGACCCUUCUUCUAAAAAAGGUUUAUGUGAGAAUGGGUGGUGUCACGAACGGAAAUGAACUCAGAAUUCAAUUAAAGAAACAGAGCUCAGCCCAAUCUGUGACCGUGCAGACCCGGCCCAAUGAACGGUGCCAUCUAUCCAAGCAGCUACUGCUUCGACGCCCUGCCGCCGCCGCGCGCCCCUGCUUCGUCCCAUUGCACACAGGCUCCGCCCCACUUGGCUGCCGGCCUGCCGCUCCAUCUGCCGCGGACUGCCAGGCGCCACCGCCAUUUCACCCGCCCGUUCUCCACUCCCCAUGCUCUGCCCUGUCGUCAAAUCCCCUCACCGCAAUAGGUGCUCUACUCCAUCUCCAUCCCGCUUCAACCCUUCAUCGUGAUGCUUGAAUGAACCAGAGGAUUACUGAUUAGUUAAAUUAAAAUUGGUCGAGGAAAUAUGGAGCUGUUUGGGUGCUUUGUUCAUGUUUAUCUUUGACAGUAUGCGAUCUAUUAUUUCCCUCGUUCCAUGCUCCUGCUGCUGCUACUCAAAUUAUGCUGGCGAUAACGCUUCCUUGAUUUCUUUAUCAAAAUAUGAGAACACAGUUUGUAAACUAUCGUGCACACAUGAUUCCUUGAUAUUGUAAUUUUUGCAUGACCUGAUAUAUGUUCGUUAUAAUUUAUGCAAGUUUUGAACUCACUUGUCAACUUUAAGGUAUUAUAUGAGACUUUUUAAAUGUAUUAUCAUACUUAUGGUUACUUUAUACUAGUAAAACGAUUUCUGGAGAAUUUUGUAGUUUGUUAACGAAUCAUUUAUUGGAUUACACCAUAUUUUCGAUUGGAAAUUUUGGCUAGGCAUACCCUCUUUUCAAAUUCUUGGUCCACGACGCGGCUUAUUUGGUGUUUUGGUUUGUGCGUGCAGACUGGGUGCUGAAGAGGAGAAGCUAUAGGCGCUGUUGAUGACGGCCAUGGAGUAGCAUCCCAAAGCUAGCACCUUUGUUUCCGCUCCUGCGCCAUUGCCUGCACUUCCUGCUUAGUUUCCCGAUGAUCCUCUGCAACGCAUUGAGGACCGUUCGCAGAUUCCGGUGGGUUCCUCGGGUUCAGCUCAUUGUGGAGCACAGUGAGCCAUACCGAGCGGCACAUUUGUGUGCAACUGCUACCCGUUAUUGGGAUGUUCAAGAAUCAUCAGCUACCUCAAUUUGUGGGUUCACACCAAUUGGUCAUGAGUAUCAGUUGCGGCCUUACUCAGCUGCUCCCGCACGCCGUGGGGAGGAGAAACCCUUGGAUGAGGAUGAGGAUGAGGAGGAGGUGGUGGUCGAUAAGGAGCUCAAGCGAAUGGAGAGGAGCCGGGUUUUCUGGACUGCACAGCAGACUUUCUUGGAGUACCUCCAUUUCACACGGGGGCUGCCCUUUGCCGAUGCUGAGCAUAUAAGCAAGCACUCGCCUGCCUUUGUGAGCAAGCUGCUGGACCAGGUGAAGGAUGCUAUCAAGGACCCUGUGGAGGGGGGUGAGGAGGUGGUGUUCAUGUCAAAGGUGAAGAAGACUGAGGUGAGGGAUCAGAGGGCCACUAAGGCAUUGGUGCGGCUGUUCCGGUACCACCCUGUCAACGAGUUCGAGCCGUUCUUCGAGAGCAUGGGCCUCAAGCCAGGCAAGUAUGAUUCCUUUCUACCUCGGGAUCUUAUGUUUCUUGCCGAUGAUGAGACAUUGCUGGAGAACUACCACUUUCUUUGUAAUUAUGGGUUUGCGCGUACUAAGAUAGGGAGGAUAUACAUGGCUGCUGUGGAGUUUUUUAGAUCUGGUGACAAUGUGCUUCCAUCUAAGCUAAGUGCUCUUGAGGAUCUAGGGUUCAGUAAAACAACUGUGAUAAAACUUGUGACCUCUUGCCCUGUCAUAUUGGCACGUGACCUAAAUGCUGAAUUCAAGAUCAUGCAGUGGCUAGAUGAUUGUGGCAUUAAGAGAGACUGGAUCGGUCAAUUCUUAUCUGUGCAGAAGUCAUAUGAUUGGAAAAAGAUGGUUGAAAUUCCUCAAUUUUUCACUGAAUUGGGAUUUGAUAAGGAGGGUAUUGGUAAAUUGAUCAGCCAAAACCCAGAUUUCCUGUUGGAUGGUUCUGGAAAGGUACUGUUUAGAGUGGUUACCAUCAUGCUGAAAGCAGGUUCUGAAAAAAAGGAUCUAUUUAAUCUUUUCCUGGACUUCCCAGAUGUACCAGCCAGCGAUUUCGCGAGGAACAUACAGAGUGUUAUACUAUUGUUAGCUGAUAUUGAUGUAUGUGAUGAGGAUAUUAAGCAGUUUGUAGUAGCAAAUGCGUCAAUCCUUGGUUCUGCUCGAGUGAAGGCGGCCAACAGCAUUCUUACAAAUCUCAGUGUGGGAAAGAGGCGUUUGUGGAAGAUUAUAAAGGAGGAUCCACGGCAAUUGAUGAAAUACAAAUUAGGGACAAAGCUCAGCCGCCUGCCAUCUUGUGACAGGAGUACUGACCAAUCAUUGGAGGAGAAGGUAAAAUUUUUGAAAGGCAUAGGAUUUGUGGAAGGCUCUGAGGAUAUGAAGAAGGCACUCAAAUCUUUCCGUGGUAAGGGUGAUGAACUCCAAGAUCGGUUUGACUUUUUGGUUAGGACUGGACUUUCCCCAAAGGAUGUAGUGAACAUGAUCAAGAUAGCUCCACAUGUUUUGAAUCAGAAGAUACAUGUCCUUGAGUCCAAGAUAUCUUUCCUUUUAAAUGAGACAGCUUAUCCCCUAAGUGCUCUAGUUACGUUCCCCUCAUUCUUGUCAUUCACUGUCGAGAGAACCAAAGUUAGGUUUUUAAUGUACAAUUGGCUGCAAGAAAGGGGGUUGGUUGCUCCCAAUUUUGCGCUAGCCACUUUCCUAGCUUGUUCGGAGAAAGAUUUUAUUAAGCAUUAUGUAAGAAAACAUGAAUUGGGUCCAGAGGUCUUUGAGAAGUUCAAGAGGGAGGUGGCUGAAACCAAAAACAUGCAUUGUACUUCAGAUGAUUAGUACGAUAUUAAUUGGUAUUUUGAAUUAGUUCCCUGAAUAUUGGCAGUUUUUCCUUUUGUUUUAUUUUACUUUUGUCUGUGCCUACAGGUUUGCUUGUUGGUUUGGUGCAGACCAAUAGACGCCCUACUUUGUGUAGACCUAACUCUUUCAUAAGCUGUCCAAUUAGCCCAUGUCAUUUGACAAUAUCUGUGCUUUGAAAGGCAUUUGAUGGCACUACUUCUAGCUGUUAACCCACAAAAAUGUUUGCGUGAGGUUCCUCAAGGCUUUGAAUUAAAUAGUUUGUUAAAUUGUUUGGCGCUGAGUCUUAUGUCAACAUGUUUUCGAGAACAAGGAUACUGACAUAGGAGAUCAUAGUUUGGAAAGGUCUGUCAGGAAGGACUUGAUCGACAGGGCAUUGUUAGCUCAAAAACUUUCAAUGAACAAGAAGGAUCAGAUCUCAAUCUACAAAAUUGUGCAAAUGAUCCUUCACGUGUGGAUGACUUUCAUGUCCAAAUUUCUGAGUCUGCCAAUGAUUACUAUCCAUUUUUGUGAAAUUCUGAGUCCAUUUCUGUAAUCUAUACAUUGUCUGUACUGUAAUACUUCAAACAUGAUUAGCUCAUUAGCGUAUCUCUGAACAUUGUUUUUUGAAUGAUGAAUGGGGUCUGUUGUUAAUUACACAGUACUGCUUUGUUUGGUGAACUAAUUUGCUACAUGCUUGCCUUUAUUGGCAAGUCAGUUCAGUGAUUACGUGUUCAUGAUAGAUCUCCAUUCUACAUUAGAUAUGGUGUCCUUUAAAAUGCAGUAUACGCACUUCAAUUUCAAAUGCUCUGCUCAUAUCAGUUUCAGUAUAUUGUCCUGUUUUCAACAGAGUAGUUUGAUAAACUGAUGAACGAUCAGGUGAAGGCAUUUGCUGCUGAGGCAUCAUUAACAUUCUGCCCUCAGAAGCUACUUGUGUCCUAGUUUUUUUCUAAAAAAAAAUUAAAGUGAGUAUAUAGUGGCAUGUACUCCCUUCGUUCCGCAAAGACUCUAAAAUUUGUCCUCCCAUCGUUCCGCAAAGACUCUAACAUUUGUCCCACAAAGAGUGUCAUUUUACCUCCUAGUAAACCUCACUAAUUAAAGCAACACUCACACUAAUAAAAAAAGCAUAUGAAGAAGCGCGUAGAGCCAAUCAAAUGAUCAAUUGAUGUUAUUUUUCUAGUUUCAAUGCAGGUGCAUUUAUUUAGGAUCCAGAAGAUAGAACAAUUUUCAAUCACGAUUAGUAUUAGUUAUUAGGUCAGUCUCAGUGCAUGGUUUCAUCACAUUGUUACUAAGACUACCGUGUCAUCUUUUCAAUGAAAUGAAAUUGUCACUCUUAGUGUGCAAUUUCAUCGUGCAGCAAUUAAUUUUUGUAUAGAGUUAUGAUCAAUUGUAUCAUACGAUGAAACUACAACAUUCUCAGCGCAAGUUUCAUUAGGUUUCAUAGAACUAGGUAACUGUGCCAGCUGGGUUUAAAUUUCAUUGGGUUUCAUGGGACUAGGUGACUGUGCCAGCUGGGUUUCAAGGCGUGAAACUUUCCUGUUCUUUCUCCUCAUAAUUAAGUUGCCAAGUCAACAAAACUGCUGAUGUGACAUAGGAUUUAAUGUCCAUGAAACUUCACUGAGAAUGACCUUAGGGGCAACAUAGAACAAAACCUGCGUACAAAGCCUGAUGAACAUAUGCAUCUUGUUUCUUCAGUUUGCAGAACAAAACCUCUUAUAGUCCUAGCUGAUUGCCUCAUAGUACUAGAAUUAUAUAUGUUAGAAUUAUAAGUUACCUUCAGGUUUUAAAUUGUUGGUCUUUGUGAAUGGUUUUGGACAUGCAGGUAGGUCUUUGAUGUUGCAAAAAGGAGGUCAAGGAUGAAAACUCUAUUGUCAAAAAUUGUGUAGUAAACUCUAUUGUCAAAAGGACACGUGACUCCGAAAUAAAUUCGUGGCGUUUCACAUUAUUUCUUCCAAACCCCACUCCCUGUCACUCUGGCGGAUCAGCACCACACGCGACGCCUCGUGAUCCUCGCGGCACGAAUCUCGGAGCAAAAUCGACGGCGCUGAAAUCUCCGGCCGUUCGUAUCCCUCCUGAAUCACCGGGCCCACCAUCCCGUCGCCGUUUAAAUGUUUCGUGCACAUUCAUUGAUCGACUCGACUCCACCACCACACCGUCUCUCUCCGCAGUUCGCACUCAGCAUUGUUGUUGGCGCUCUCACCGGCGAGCAGCGAACAGAGAGGUGCGAUCUCUUGCUCCAGCUCCCCACUUCUUCCCCGCCUCCGACUCGCCGGCAACCGCGGGCGUUCGCAGAAUCUCGCCGCGUUUGAUCUUUGCCUUCAAUGGGCGCCGCCAACUUUAGGUUGCCCUUUUGGUGUCGGCGGUUCUGUUGCAGAGUUGCAGGCCGUCCCCGAGCGAAAGGGUUUUUUUUUUGUGUUGUGUGGUUGGUUGGUUCAAGUUGGGGUAUCUCAGUUGCGAGAGUUGCUAAUAAUAGAUGUGAUGUUCCUCGAAAGAAAAUAGAUGUGAUGACCUUUCUUCUGUAGAAUUUUGCAUUUUAUUUUUAGAAAUAAAAGGUGGAGAAGUUGGCGUGAUGCACACAUGUCCGAUGAUGAUAGACGAUCGUUUUAUUUGGGGGAGAGUUUUUAUUGCCUUUGAGUAGAACCAUCGUGUGCUAUAUAUGCAAAACAAAGUCUUUAGGAAGUGAUUUGUAUCACGGAUUUGAAUUGUAUGCCCAAUACUAUGUUGUGUAGCCUUCCUUUGUCAUUUCGAUUAUAAGCAAAAUAAUAUAUCACACUCUGCAUUUGUUGGUUUCCGCUUUAAAAACAAGGACAAUUCAAAAAUGGCAGAACGGUUCGUAGAGCACACAACAGGUUUAUUUAUAAAAAAUGCAUUGAUAGAUGAGAGGUUCCUAUUGCGUAUCUAACUACCUGUUGGUGCCAACUAAUUAGAUGCUUUACUUUUAAAAUUAUACGAAAGCUCAUACAUAAAGGAGCAGCAUGUCGAUCGACCUUUGUGACUGUUACAUUCAUCUUAUUUAUCCUGCCACCUGUUUGAGUCGUUGACAUUUUUGGCUACUUUUCUAUAGCCCAAACAAAAGUCAGAUGAAAGCAUCUGCUGUUUAUUUAGUUGCUGGUGGAAAUUAAUGGCUGCAUGCUCUGUUCAUUCAAUUAGAUAGAUCGAUGCAAUAUUGUAGAUUCUCUGAAGUCUGCUCUAGCUUCUUUAACAUGCAUUACAGUCUUCUUUGCUGAUUUGGAGUUAGCCUGUUGGUGGUCCAAUAUAUUCCAAUAGAAAGUGCUCAGGAAAAAGAGAACUGCAUAUUCACUUUAUCUCUUCAAUGUACAGAACUGAGUGAACCAUGUAAAUUUUUAAUUAUUGCUCAAAAACUUGGUAUGCUAGGCUUAAUGCGACACCGGCCUUGUUCUGUCAUUCUGUACAAAUUGUAUUUAAGCAGUAGAUUUCUUUUCUGGCUUCUACUGUUUUUAUUAAGAUAACAAGUUCCUGCUUCUACUACCUGCUGGAUUAGUUAGCUUUUUUUCUUUUGUUGAUGCAUAGCCUAAAUAAAAGAUGGAUUAAGGCAUUUUUGUCUAAGAAAUUGUGAUGCUUACCAUGCUCAUUCAGAAUGCAUAUCUUCGUGAGGAGCCCCACCGGCAGAACAAUCCGCCUCCGGGUCCAACCAUCAGAUACCUUGCGUACCGUUAAGGCGAAGAUUCUCGAACAGCACCGCCUUGUCUUUGAUGGAGAGCAGCUAGAUGAAAACCUUACAUUGGCUGAUUAUGACAUCCAGCAUCAAUCCACGCUUGACCUCCAAGAAAAGAUGCAAAUCUAUGUAAUGGAGACGCUAAAAGGCAAGACCAUCACACUCGAGGUUGACAACUUAGAUACUAUUGACAACGUGAAGAGCAGGAUUGAAUAUACCGAGGGAUUUCCCAAGGGUCAGCAGUGCCUCAUCUUCGACAACAAACAGUUGGACGACAGCAGCACCUUGGCGGACCACAACAUUUGGAAGGAGUCCACCGUUCUCCUUGUCCUCCACCCAUUUCCAAGAGGUACGAUGCAGAUCUUUGCGAAGACGCUGUACGGAACAACCAUCCCUCUUGAGGUUGAGAGCUCAGAUACAAAUGCUGUCAAGCUGAAGAUCUACGAGAAGGAUGGCACUCGCCCCAAACAGCAUCGCCUCAUCUUUGUUGGCAGACAAAUGGAGGGCAGCCGCACCCUGGCAGACUAUAACAUCCAGCACCAAUCUACCAUCCAUGUGGUGCUCUGCCUUUGCGGUUGUUGAGAUAUUUAUAAUGAUCGCUGAAAAGUACACGAUCUUGUGCUUAAUCGUUUUUCUUUCUUCCUGGCGCUUCGUCGCUCAUAAAGACUUCCUCUUUAUCAUGGCACAAUCUCAUGCGGGUUUGUUAAAAAAAAAUCGCUGAAGACAGAUCUGGUUCUGGUGCAGCCUUGCAGGCCAUAAAACUUAUUUGGUUUCAUCUGCUGAUGCUUGCUAUGAUCCUGUAAUAAUGUGUUUAUCAUAAUGCACAGUGUUCCCUGCAUUACAAAUUUGUACUUAAUUUUCUUGCUUUGUCCUUAAAAUUACUCUUUUCCUUUAUUUUCUGCAAGAUGUGUAAUUUAUAUCUACAAGAUUUUGAAAUAGAUGAAACUUCUCGGAAAUAAUUUGUAAUUUUCAUUUAUAUUUUCAUUGAUUACUGGAGAUGGAUCUGGUGCACACGAUAAAAAUUUAUAUGUUCCAUAUGCUGAUGGCUGAUGCGGGUUGUAAAGAGCAACUCCAAGAGUUCCCCAAAAAAUUCUUCCCAAAAUGAGAUAUUGGGAGCUAUGCUAAAAAAUUUUUCCCCAAAAAACAUAUUAGCCCACAGCAGAUCGCUAAAAACUACUCCCCAAUAAUUUAAAAGAGGCCACGUCAUCGCAUUAGGCCCAUUAGUAUCCGUUGAUUUUUACCGUGUCCAGAGCCCAUCAAAAAUACUCCUCCGUACCCUAUCACGCCACCUGCCCGUGCGCCAGAGGUCUCACGCCGCCACCCCCGCGCACGGUGGACUUCAGCAGCCCCUGCACGGCAUUCCUUGCCGGCAUCAUCCUCCGUGCACUGCGCGGAUCAAAGUAAUGAUUACUGCCUAGCAUCAUUUUCAUUUUGUUUUUUUGUUGCGAUCAGCUUUGACAUGUGAGGAUUCUGUCGUAAUGUGUUUUUAUGUGGCUGUCAAUACCUAGGAAAAACAGUUCCUUCGAUCUCCAACUAUAAUUGGAGACAGGUAAAAAGGAAUUGCUAUGAAUCGAAGCCUUUCGAUGCAUCUAGUGUUGGAUUCGUCGUCAGAUGAUGACGAUGAUGAUUUCUUAAUCUCUGUUACUCAUGUGACCGUGAAUGCGAAUGAGUCCGAUGAUGAAACAAAACAUCGUGGUUCUAUCAUAGGUCAUCGAGUACUUCAGCGAGACAGACAGGCAGGGCAUCAAACAUGAUAGUAAUUAAGUACUAGACAUAGAUAGUCGACUCAUGAUCUCAGCGCGCAAGGACAUGUAGUAUUUCUUUUGCUCAUCUGGCAUGGCGGUAAGAUCCAUGGUCAUAAUCCUCUCUUCAUCCCUCCUUUUUUGCAAUUGGACCUCCUGGCUCCUCAACUCAAGAAGUAGUUUUUCAUUUGCAACUCGAUCCUGUUCAAGAGCAACUCGUUCUUGUUCAAGAGCGAAAGCUUUGUUGAACCUCUCCUCUUUUUUUAGCUCUUUCUCCCCAUCAGUUUCUUUCUUCUGUGCCCACAUAUUUUCUAAGGUUGUUGUCACACUUUUUUUCUUCUCUUGCAGCAGUGCUAGUUUUGCCUUCUUCUUACCAAUCGGCCUUGUCAAUGCAUUAUCCUCUAGACCUUGAACCUCACCUUGUCCUAUUUCACUUGGUGAACUUGCAUUCGGGUCAACAGUUGAGCUUGUCUUCUGCUUCUUGUUAGAUGUUUUACCAACAGCCAAUUCAUCAAUUUUAGAAAGCCAUUUUGGUUGUGUUCUCAGCUUAUUCCAGCAAUGCAUGAACUGGAAUGCUUUCUGAUGUUCGUCUUCAGACUUGUACAAAGCACAUGCCUCUGCAACCUACAAGCACCACCAUACAAGAAAUAUUCAUAUACGAUAUAUAAAAAUAAAAUAGUUGAAACAAAUCGUGGUAUUGCAUAGUAAGUACCUUGUCUUUCAUUGUACUACCACUCUGACGCCUUAACUCAAUUCGUGCUAGACAUCCACAAAACUUGUUCACACAUUUUUGUAUGGUCUCCCACCGGUGCAUGAGAGAAUUUAUGGUACGCUUUGAGGUGCACGUCUUGUGUUCAUGGAAGUAAUCACAGAUACGAGACCAAUACUUGGCACCUUUUUGAUCUUUGCCUACGACCGGAUCCAAGCUUACAUUCAACCAUGCUGAAACCAAAACCUCAUCUUCGUGGUCACUGAAGUUCUUUGAUCUCUUAUGGUUCGGCCUUGCGGAGGGGGCUGCUGGACCAACUUCAAUUGCUUGGGAUUGUUGGUCACCACAUGUGUUGCUAUAAUAAUGAGAAUCCCCUAAAUUGGUUUCAUCCAUCAUCAUGUUGGAAAAAUAUCCGUUUCCUGCCCAGUAGGUAGAAAAUAAACAUCAAGUGGUAUAUGGAGGCUACACAUAUAAAAACUUGCUCAAGUGGCAUAUUUUAUCAUGCCAACAAGAUGGUGACUACAUGCUAGGAGCCAACUAGUCAGCUAGCUAAGUCCCUAAAGUGAAGGGAAUAUGAGCCAACUAGUCAGGAUCACAGCUGAUUUUAGUAUUUAUAACUCAUCUUAUGAGAAGCAAUGAAACUGUUCCUUGUUCCUACUUCCACUUAACCACAUACCCUUUAGUUUUGCUUCACAGCAUAGAACCAAGUUUCUUUUCAAAGUAAUACAGUUCAUUCACAUGCCUGCAGCUCAAUUAUGAAGUCGACAGUACAAAGCUUGUACAGAACAAGAAUUACAAGGAACAAGGCCCCCAUCGGCGCCAACGCUAUCAUCCACAUGUGCACAGGCUAUACAUUGGCCAUGGAGCAGUAGUAGAAGCAGAACAAGGAACAGAGAGGGAGAUGUCGUUGUUAGCUUGCUUUAAUUUUUAGCUAAGCCAAGUUCGUUAGCUGGAUGAGAUUAGCAGGCUUUAAUUUUUAGCUAAGCCAAGCUACUGCACUGAAUUGAAUAGAUCAAGAUACUAACUAGCUACAGGCCAACGCAAGCAUGCAAAGACUAAAAAGUCUACUGUUGCCGGACAGAGACAUUUCACAUGAAUUCAACCGAGCUGAGAUGCUGACCCUUCAGACAAAUAGAAAUAGCAACAGUGCAACUAGCAAGCAAAUGAGAACACUUGGUUGUGAGCUAAUCAGAUCUGAGAAACAAAGCCAAGCUGGUGGCCACACAAUUAAUUGAAAACUGAACAAAUAACAACAGUUGCUACUGUACUGAAUCGAACUGCCUGAAGCUCUGAAGAAAAGCAAUAUGAUAAUACAAGCUAAGGUUAGUUGCCACAUUAUCUUCAAUCAAUGCAAAAUCCUUCUAUAGGCAAAACAAAGCCACUUAGAAUUGACUACACAGCACAAGAAAUCUAUCUUAUCUCACGGGGAAUUGAGUUAAAGAGCUUAUGAUUCAUACCAUUCACAAAUGGGUUGCCGUUGGCCGCUUGUUCGAAAGCACCAGAAGGGCCGCCGCUGGAUGGGUACGGCACCGUCGAUAGGGAGUCCAAAUCAUCACUGGUAAGAGCUACAAUCGGAGGACCUUGCAGAUCACCACACAUGUCACCACUACCAGGCAGGUCGAGGUCGUCGCUGCUGGACCUCUCCAAAUUUCUGCUGCUGCUGUUCCAUUGAGGGAUGUGGUCGCCGCCGACGAGCACCACACGCCGUUGAAGCAUCCCUCCACUGCGCCUUACUUGGCCCUGCCGUGGUGCCUGCAUCUGCACAGGCAACAAAGAGUUCAGGCACGUCCAAGCGAAGAUAUGCAGAACAAUAUCAGCAAUGCAAGUUAGCUCUGUUCCACAACACCAUUGUAAUAUAUUAGUUGUAUUAUGGUUCCAUCUAAUAAAAUAAAGUAAGUUCAUUGUUGAUAUGAAAUAUUCUUAACUUAUAUGGCCUUCAGUUUAGACAAAAAAGAGCAGUAAAUUGUUUACACCAGUCACCUUCUUACACCAGUCAUCUCAAUAUCAUCAUAGUAAUUACUUUAUAACACCAAUGCAUUAUCUGAAUGAUAGUGCACCAAUUUCUAUUGCUGAAUUCAACGGCAUAAGGAAAAACAAAGACUCAGUCAGCUAUCCCUUAUUGAUAGGUUUUAGACUACUUCUAAGUUCAGUUAGAUAUGACACAUAGAUGUAAGUUAACAAAAGUUCAAUAUAAAUAUAGUUCUGUUGCUAAUUUCAUAAGUAGUGUUCGAGAUCACAAGGCUAGAAUGUCUUGUGCUCAACACUAGUGAACACCACUGUCUAGGUAUCUGUUGCUUGCUAAGUUCAGCAGCAGAAGCAAAACAACAGUUCAGUCACUUAUAAGCAAAGAUCACGCUGAACAGUGAAGAUAAUGCAAGUUAGUUCUGUUCCCACGACUCAUGGUACUCCAGAUCUGGAAUGAGGGGUUUACCCUGAGGCGCUCGGAGAGGACGGAGGGGGUGAUUAGCUUGUACUUGGGCGCCUCGGAGAGCAGCUUGUCGUAGGUGGCCUGGUCGAACAGCACCGAGUUCUUCACCUUCUCCUUUUGCUUUCCCUUGCUCCACUUCUGCAAAAACAAAUAAGCGCAUCCACCAUUAGAACCCCAGAGAUGGCAGCAGCCCUGACUGUACGAAGAGACGAGCGAGUCGGAGAGACAGCCGCACCUUCUUCUUUUGCUUGCCACCGCCGCCUGGAACCCGGACUCUUGCGCAGGGGAGGAGAGGAGCGUACCGCCACCCAACGCUCGCCGUCCACCGGGAUGCCGCCCCGACCUGCCGCCGCCUGGCCCUCGCCGUCCACCGGGACGCUGCCGCGGGCCGCCGCCGCCGCGUAGCGCUCGUCGUCCACCCGGCCGACGCCCCUCACCCCGCUGCUCUCCUCGCCGCCGCCGCUACGCGCGCGGGAAGAGGCCGCACGGGGAAGGAAUAUCUGCUCGCGCGCGCGGGAACGGGUGGGCUCACGCGCGGGAAUCGCGAUUGGGGGAGAAACGGGAACGCUAAAAUAUACAUGGUGGUAGGUUGUUUUUUAGCGUUGCUAAAAAAUUAGGGAAGGUUUAGGUGUACUGUUGGAGUUUGUUUUUUCUCUUUUUUCCCCAAAAAAAGUAUUAGGGGGUAAGAUUAGCAGUCUCUUGGAGUUGCUCUAAUAUCCUUUAUCCUGCUUCCUUUUUUUAACCAUGCCAGGAUAGAUUUUGGCUCACAACUGUUGUACACCCACAAAACAUAAGCAAAAUGCAUCAUUUGCUUCAAAAUUUCUAGGACUUCUGGACCUACCAUCACAAUUCAAGUUAGCGAAUGAAUCGGCACCGAGUUCUUCCGGACGACUUUUCAUGCGUAAUUAGUCUGUAUAGUACAUUAGGAGAAAAAAAGGAUGGACAUUGGAAUAAUAACACGUGGCUGUCAUGGAGACUACGCAGAGAGAGAGAGAGAGUAGAAUUUAAUUGGAAAUUUCUUGUGAAAGCUAUGGCAAUAACCUGUAUAGCAACUGACAGGCGUUCAACUAAGAGGGCUGGAUCGAAAUGCAUGGACAAUGAUGGUUUAGUUUACUCAUUGUUGGAUCCAUGAGCUGAAGUUUAGUUCGGAUCGCAUCAGAUAUUGGAUGCUAAUUAGGAGUAUUAAAUCUAGACUAAUGAUAAAAAUAAUUGCAUAAAUGAGGGCUAAUUCACAAGACGAAUCUAUUAAGCCUAAUUAAUCCAUAAUUAGCAUAGCUUCCUUGCCAUCCCACCUACACACCACAUCUAUCUAUAUAGGGGAUGCUAUCCUUUUGUAUUAACUCAUGAAAGACCCUUUAAUCCGGGUUGGUAAUACCAACCGGGAUUAAAGACCUCAUUUAAUCCCGGUUGGUAAUACCAACCGGGAUAAAAAGGUUCGAGGGAUUUAGUCCUUUCCCAGCCACACAUGGGGGAACCUUUUUAUCCCGGUUGGAAAUACCAACCAGGAUAAAAAGGGUCCGAGGACUUUAUUCUUUUUCAGCCACCCGUAGGGGACCCUUUUAUCCCGGUUAGAGUUUCCAACCGGGAUUAAAGGAUCCCCUUUUAUCCCGAUUGCUUUAGUCCCAGGUGGUAAUACCAACCGGGACUAAAGGGUGACCUUUUAGUCCCGGUUGAUCUUACCAACCCGGACUAAACGGUCCCCCACGUGUGCCUGGAUUUUUCAACCGGGACUAAAGGAUUCCCACGGAUGGCUGAUUUUUGAACCGGGACUAAAAGGUCCUUUUAGUCCCGAUUGCAAAUACCAACCGAGAGUAACUUGUAGCGCACCCCUUUUCUCCCGAGCUGAAAUUAAACCGAAACUAAAGAGGUGGUAUCUAAAGUCAGUUCUAACAUUAUAACACUUUGACGGUGGUGUAGCGUACGACGCCGCGCUAGAGCCGCUGGAAGCAAUCAUGCGAGCUGACUGAGGACGUCAUAGUCGGUGUCGAGUUAAGGAUGAAGUUUAUCGCAGACGCUGGAGCCGCGCAGGACCUCGCAGAUCAACAGUCAUCUGUCAGGGCACGAUCAACAGUCUAAACAACUGUCAUCUGUAAGUGUUUUGAAAAUCACACAUAGAGUGUUUUAACAGACAUCUUUAUACAAUGACUUGUCUAUUAUCUGUAGAUCAUUUAAUUCGUAAAGGGCACAUAGUUUAUGGUGAUGAAGUUCAUCUUUGUAGCUAUUUUGUUGCUUGUUUUGAUCUUAAAUUUCUUGUUGAGAUACAAAUAUAAUAUAAUUUUUGUUAAUAGAUAGAAUGAUAUUAUGAUUCACUAAAGUACAAAAUACAUAAUAUAAAUCGUAUGUUUUUACAUAAAAUGAUGGAUUCGAAGACUAACAUUCAAAAACAUUUGACAUUCAGAACUCUGGCCUGGAGGCCACGCGUGCUCUUGCUUAUACCAGUUAUCAUGCCGUUCAGCCAGCAAAGCAUGUUCAUUGUAUACCUUUUCCUCUCUCACCUUAUCCUUUCACAUGAGCCCAAGCCCACCCGUCUUCUCUGUUUCUAAUCUCUCUCUCUACCUCGUGUGCUUGGCUCGCUGUGCAUCGUGAUCUUGCUUGGGAACAAACUUUGCGCUGCUUCCCCUCACACAUAUAUAUGAGCCACAGGCUCUCGCUCGACGGACAGGUGGCUCUCGCUCACACAUAUGCUUCCCCUGUAUCUCCCGCUCUUUCACAGUCGCCCUUUGCACUCGAGUCAGCGUGAUGUGGAUGACAGAGCGGCCCGACGAGGUUGCCUAGGUGGGGUGCGGCGGGGUGCUGCCGGCGAAGGUCGGCUCAGCUCGAUGCAUCUAUCGGUGCAUGGCAGCGCGGCGUGGUGCGGGAGGAAGGGUGCGGCGGGUUGUUACCGGCGAGGCGAGGCUCAAUGCUUCCAUUGGUGGUAGCGCAGCACGGAUUUGUCUAAUUUCACAGUGGAUUCCGAGCCGUCGGCCACCGCUCAUACAACAAGCAUGAGGUUGUCCGCAGCGCGUCGGAGCACGAGCCGCGCCGUCGUCUUGCGUCCCUCUCUCUCCUUUACCACUGAUCCGCGUCAACAAAACAAGCCUACGUGGCAUCAUAUAAAAAUGGCAUUAAUUGCCUUUGUACGUGCCUUAGGCCUCCUCUGGCAUGGGCCUCCGGCCGCAGGGGCGGGCCCACUUAUAUUCAAUGGUAUUGAGUUGAAUAUUCAUUAUUUUUGAAAAAAAGUUCAUGUAUAUAGUGUAUUCUAGUUAUAUGUAUGGAAAAAGCAAAAAUAAAGAAGCUAACACAGUGAAACAAAAUAAAAAGGCCUACCGGCGGACAUCUUCCCUCUCGGGCUCUCCCUGGCCCAAUUUGCCACUCGGCCCACUCGGCCUCUCUAAUCAGCCAGGCCACGCACAACAGAGGGCACAGGCACCAGUGCACAGCACGCACAAACCACACAUCCUGACAUCCACAUCCAGGCGCCUCUGCUUCAACCCUAGCCGGCGGUGGCCGGCGGGGAGGGUGGAGCUCGGCGAUGGGGAGGGGGAGGGUGGAGCGCCGGAGCUCGAGGCUUGCGCCGCUGCGCGGAGCUGCGGCGGCGGCACCGCGGAAGCCGCGCCACCUACUGGACGUGGACGGCCGGGCGCCGGGCGGCCGGCGCUACUGGACGGCCGGCGGGCGGCGCCGCGGCGGCGCGCUCCGUUGCGACCCGCAUGGCCUCCGUGUGGCACGUGACCGCGUCCCCGACUCCCCGUGAUCCGUCCCCGACCGCGUGGCCUGCUUGAUUAGAGAGACCUGAUUCCUUUAAUUGUUUGUGAAAUUGUCAAAUUGAGGUUAGCAUGUAGCAUAUAAUUUUUCUCUGUUGUGAGCGAAGCAGCAUCCUGUGCACUUUUGUGAUCAUUCAUGUCUACUAGCAAACAUGUUGACCAUUUAGGCCUACCUUUUCCAUUAUCGUUGUGACUAGGCAGCUAGUAGCACAUUGAUGUUUCUUGCAGGCUAAAAACUGUUAUCAAAUACUAAUCUUCGAGAAUCUGUUGUCAUUAAUAAUUCCUCAACUGAAACCAAUGGGUCGCCCAACAUUUUGAAAGGGCUGGGCAGCUGGCAAUCAGGUGUUCUAUGCAGAACUGCAGCUAAUGUAUGCCCUGUUUUCUAUAUUGUAUAUCAUUAGCUGUGAGAUCUAAUUAAAAAAAUUGAAAAGCUACAAUUGAAAGGUUAAGAAGAUUAGCUGUGUGAUAUAUAGUCAUAGAAAAUAUGGGUUUACACCAACACAUUUUGAUUUAGAUCUGCCAGAUAUGUUUCAUAUUGUGUGCCUAAUGUUCUGCUAAUGUUGAUAGCAAAGCACUCUCAUUUUGAUUACCAUUUUGUUGUUUUAUCCUCUAUUUAUUUCACAUGUUGCCACUUUGAUAUGUUGACCAUUAGUAGCUGGACAAUUUCAAGUUGUGAUCAAUUUAUUAAUCAAUGAUGGUACCACUUAAUUCUGUGUUAUAAAUCUAUAAUUUAGGCUGUCAAUUUUUUUUUUCUUGCCAUCUGCAAUUUUAAAUACCCAUGAUCCAAAUCCUGCGCCCGCCUCUGCCUUGCACAAACGUCACAAACUGGGCCUCGUCCGUCGGAGCCAAUGUCGAGGCUCCAAAAUCUGAGACUUUGACGGUGUAGUCGUCGUCGAUGAGUAUGUUUGCCGAUUUCACGUCGCCGUGGAUGAUCGGCGGCGAGGCCCAGGAGCGCAGGUAAGCGAGGGCUUCCGUGGCCUCGUGCGCGAUCUUCAGGCGCGUCGCGAAAGAGCCGCGUGGCCCGUGGUUGUGACGGCCGUGGAGAGCGUGCCGUUGGGGAUGAACUCGUAGACGAGCAUGGGCACCUCCACCUCGAGGCAGCAGCCGCAGAGCUUGACGACGUUCCUGUGGUUGAUCUGGGAAAGUAUGAGCAUCUCCUUCCCGAACUCCUCCUCCUGCCUCUCGCUGAUCUGCCUUGUAGACGGUGCCAUUCCCUCCCUUGCCCAGCACAUUUCGCUCGUUGAAAUUAUCAGUUGCCUCUUCAAGCUCUGCUUUGGUGAACAAAGUGAAGGAAAUCCCCUGUUUUGAUUUCAUUUCCUCCAACAGCAAGAGGCCUCCGUGCUGCUUGAAGUACCUCUUCUUCACAGCGGCAAGGCUCCUCUUCCGGUGGAACAGGUAGGCUCCAGACAGGUAAUUACCAGCUAGCCUGCUAAUUUGAUUGUAAUCCAGCUCUAAUCCACACCAAUCCACGUCAAGUUAAUUUAUUUUUUCAACCCAACUCAUUCUAUAUUUAUAUUAUCUAAACUUAAGCCAAUUCAUCCUACUAGUUGAUAGAACCAUAGGUUUGCUAUAAAAAAAAUCAUGGUUUGCUAUAUAAAUCUAUGGGCUCAUAUAAAAAACUUGUAUAUAUUUGAAAUAAAUGUGUGUCCGACAUGUGGGUCCUACGUCAAGAGCUGAACUCUAAAACUAAAACAUCGUGUUCACACCUUAAAAUUUUAACGAAAUUGAUCGAAAUUUAUUGGAGUUGACAGAGUUUGACUGCCCGCUACUUUGUGCUAAAUAGUAUGGCUAAACAUACAUUUAGGCCCCGUAUUAAGAGCCGGACCCUAGAAUUAAAACCUCACGUUCACACCUUAAAAUUUUAACGAAAUUCAUCAAAAUUUAUUGGAGAUGACUCAAUUUGACUGUCCACUACUUUGUGUAAAAUAGUAUGACUAAACAUACAUAUGGGUCCCGCGUCAAGAGCCGGACCAUAGAAUUAAAAUCUCGUGUUCACACUUUAAAAUUUUAGCGAAAUUGAUCAAAAUUUAUUGGAGAUGACUUAGUUUAAGUGUCCGCUACUUUGUGCAAAAUAGUAUAGCUGGGCAUAUUUAUGGGCCCCACGUCAAGAGUCGGACCAAACUACAACCUCCCUUUCACACUUUAAAAUUUUAACGAAAUUGAUUGAAAUUUGUUUCACACUUUAAAAUUUUAACAAAAUUGAUUGAAAUUUGUUGGAGAUGAUUUAGUUUAAUAAUUAGCUACUUCAUACGAAAAAGUAUAGUUAGACUUAUAUGUGGGCCCACAUUAAGAAUCGGAUCCUUAAAUUGUUUGGUGAAUCAAAUCAAUGCAACCCACUCUAAACCACUCCCAAACUAUUUCCUCCUAGGAGGAACCCAAACCAAACCAAACCAUUUGAUGAAUCAGCAUAUUAAUAACCAAUCUAAAUAUUCAAAAGAAAUCCAAUCCAUUAAAAUCAUUAAACCCAGUUCAAUUAGCAGGGCCCAUGCUAGCAUAACUAUGGCCAUGCUAACAGCCGUAGCAAGGUCGCAGGAUCAGAUGUUGUCGAGCAGAUGAGAUGGUAAUUGAGGUAACGGAGAUGACGACUUACCAGGCAAAAAAUCAUAUAUUUUUUUUGUCGGGUUUCAUUUCAUUUCAAAAGGAUCAUAAUGUGUUUUAUGGGGUCAUCUGGUGCAAUAGUAUGAUCCUAUAGUAUUAUGGCAUACUCCUCCGCAGAUGCCUGGUUUUAGGCACUCAUCAAUAUCUGCAGCAACAUCAUACUUUAGUGAUACAGAAAUUAACAAAAUGAAGACGAUACCAACUGUCGAGACUUCAGUGUUUCUUCAGAUAACUAGAAAUCUCCAUGUUUAGGUGCCGUUCCAGCUCUCAGUAGUUUUUUUCUCCUUUGCGAUGAACCUAGUUUGGUUUGUAAGUUUGAUAGUUUGUUUCUCACUAGCCCUUUCAGUUUUUUUCCCCUUUUCCAUGGUUGUAAGACUCUGUAUUUUUUCCCACUCUCUCUUAAUGAGACGUGCUAUGCACAUUCUCGAAAAAAAAGAGAAAUCUCCAUGUUAAUUGGAGAGGAGAGCAAUAAAAUAAAGGAAAGUUUAUGCAAACUAGUUUAUGGAAAGUUUUUGUUUUCAUCAGUAAUCCACAGUGAAUUUCAGUUUGUCACUGUUCUUCCUAAAACGCGGACCCAAGCCCUGAUUUGUCAGUGAGAAAUCCUAUUGCACGGCUGGAAAAGAACACCAUGUAGUGGCAAAAACAUAAAUUGCAUGUAAAUAAUUAAAGACAGAAAACAGUUCUAUUCUCGCAUCCAUUGUCUUAUUCCCGUACGUUAGUGAUAGUAGAAACGCGUGAUGUUUCAGGCAUUGUUCAGUGAAGUAUGACAAAAGUCAAAAUAAGGAAAAAAAAGAUUCUACCUCUGCGGAAAGCCUAAUAGUUUAAGAGAUCUGACAUGCAAGAGUUAGUACUGAGUUGUGAGUAUUUUCUCUUCAGUAGCUUAAUGAUUUUUCAGGCAUGGACUUGAUUCAUGCAUCAUAUAACACUGUCUCCGAAGAAUGUUAUAAACUUGAAAAUGUCAGAAAAAUUACGACCUAGAGCAUAAUAUGAAUCUCCAAGACCAAACGAUAAAGAUCUCUAUUGUUGAGAAUGGUUAGGAUAAAUAAUGAUCUCCAAGACCAAACGAUAAAGAUCACUAUUGUUGAGAAUGCGCGCGCGCACAGACACACACGCAGAGAGGGAGGGAGGGAGGGAGCGAACCUUGACAGCCAUUCGAUGUAUGUGGAUUCCCAUUAAAGCCUGGCAUACAUUUGCCUCCUGACAGGUCAGAUUGGCAGCAGCCCAUUGCACAGAGGAUGGUUCCCCCGAACCGAUAUAGAGGGGGGUUCCUUUGGUCCAGAUCGGGCGUGGGCUGGAGAUUCAUGGACUCUGUCGUCCUCAUCAGUCGUCAGGCAGGCGCGGGAGGCCGCCAUGCUGGAGGCUGGACGGCGAGUGUUCGCCGGUCGACGGCGCGGGAUACCUCACCGCUUCAUCGUUGCAAGACAUGCUCGCCCGAAAAGUAGGCCCGGGCAGGGAGAUUGGCCGGCCGGCUGGCUUCGGCAGCUGCGCGAGGUGGCCGGCCGUCGGCAAGCACUUCAAAUAUGAGCUCAGCAGCAGGGCGAACCAUGAAGCUAGAAAAAGGCCAAUCAGACGAGCGUCUCCAAAGAUCUCAAAUCACGAAUCACGGCCGGGUUAGGGGAUGCGAUCGAGAAAAAAUGCGUUGGAUUAGGGAGAAAUUAAAGGCCGAGUUCGAUUUUAUUUUGGGAAGAGGGAGGACUCCAAUCGGACCGAAUGGAGAAUCGGACAUGUGUCAUCACCAAGGAACGUGCAAAGAGUCAUUGGCAGUUGGCACUGCCGGCGCGGCGGCGGUGGCUACACACUGACCGGAGAAGUCGACUCCGGUACGGGCGCGCGGCCACCACCUCGAGGAGAGCCGAAUUCCUCGGGUGCUGGAGCGCCCUUACUUUCAGUUGCGCUCGGCAAGCCACGUGCCUUGGAGUGCGGUGGCGCCGGUGCCGUCGCCGCUCCAUCGCCGUCCGCACGCGCGGCCCGUGGCUACAUCUUCAAUCGGCGACGAACAGCAUCCCCGAACGAACUAUGGCCACGGGCGCCAAGUGUGGGGCGGUGCGUGAACCUGGCGGAAGCAAUGCCCGGACGCGACCUCGCCGGUACCGAUGCCGCCGCCGGCGGAAUAUUUUCAGGAAGACCCCUGGAUCGCGAUUAAAAUUUACACAUAACCCCCUAAUUCGGAUCGCGAUCAAUACUUGUGAUCCGAUUAUUUGCAAUUAGAACCCUAGAUUUUGCAUAUAGCUCCCUGGUUGGGUUCCUCUGCUUACGGCUUACCACCGUCUUCCCCGGCGGAAUCGAGUAGCCCCGUCGCCCCGUCCCGGCUACCAGUCCCUCGCUCAAGCCCGCGCCGGAGCUGCGGCCUUGCGGGCAGGUCGAAAAAACGGCGGCGAGCGUCCGCCGGCCGACGGCGCGGGAGACCUCCGCUUCAUCGUUCAAGCUCGCCCGAUCAGUAGGCUCGGACAGGGAGACUGGCCGGCCGGCUGUCUUCGGCAGAUGUGCGCGGUGGCUGCCGGCUCGAACCACGUCGCCGUCUUCGCCGCCGGCGCCCACCUGCCUCCUGCUCCAGGUUUGCAACUAAUAACGCAGGUCCCAGCGAACGAUGGAUCAGAGAGCAUGUUUUGCCGCAUGUUCAUGGUUCAGAGUUGAGAGACUGCAGUAGCAUUGCAGCAUCAGACAACUCCUAAUUUCAGUGGAAAUUAAUUUAAAAAUCAAACCUCCUCUGCGUAUGGAAGUUCAUCGUUACUCUGUUUCAGAGUUGAGAUUAGCCAUGCAUUCAAGCAUCAGGCGCUCCUAUUUUCAGUAGUAGAAGUUAAAUUAGAUUCAAACCAUGUUUAUUGCUGCCGUUUGUGUUGAGAUCGAUGAUGGAUCUUUGUGCCUGAAUCUACAGACUUAUGCUGGAAGGAACAGACUGUUACUUUGCAAUUUCCUCUGCCUAUAUGAAAGUUACUGAACCGAAUGCGAUUAACAGCUUGCGAAAACGAAGUGAAUUCAUGCACAAUCUACGUAUCUAUUGUUUGGAGAGACAAGUAUUGCACUGAUCUUUUUACCUGCCGAUGUUUACUGCUAAAGGCUAUUCAGUGGAUGUUCUUGCCCAUCAAGUACUCCUGACACUGCAGCUGAACAGCGAGCACUGCAGCAAACUCCGUGUUCGACGACGCGAUGCCACGCUGUGCGGGGGAACUCCGGGUCUCCGGCGCCUACGCCACGCUCGCACGGCAGCCGCGCCACGUUCUGCUCUCUCGGGGGAAAGGCCGGCCUGCCCGGUAGUGCACCGGCGGCGGAGCCGUCGCCGCGCCACCGCCGCCCGCGGACGCGGCCGAGCGUGGGGCCGGGGGCUACAUCAGAUGAUCACUGCCGUUUGCGUUGAGGCUGAUGAUGGAUCUUGUGCCUGAAUCUACAGAUGUAGUGCUGCGAGUACAUCAGGCCAGGAACCUUCAGAUUUCAGGGAUCGGUAAGACAAAUUGCAGAAACUGACAGCGGGUAGUAAGACAAAUUGCAGAAACAGAUUUGUUAUACCUCUGAACUUUUUGUUUUUUCAUUUUGCGUACACGCACUCUGCGGUUCAGUUAAACGGCAACUACAUAUGCAGAGCACUAGAGCUACGCUAGUGUUAGUUGGAGUGUCAUUCAAGAAGGCACUUGGCCGCAAAUUGAGGUGAGCAUGGCUCGGCCUUUUUUUCUUCCAUUCCAAAGUGAUGUCAUCAAAACAAUAACGUGUGAUGUUCUUUGGCAAAAAAAAAAGGAAAGGAUUCACGUGACAGUUUGAAAAAGGCAGCGAUUCGGCAUAAUCCGGUAUGCAAAUUCAAAUUGCCAAUUGGUUUGAAGCGCGGGGACCAGUACGGACUUUUAAAUAGUGAAAACAAAGAGCAAAUUUGAAUAUGAACCUAGACUUCAAGGCUGAGGCCGGCCGGCCGCCGGCAGGCGUGCUCAUGCACAUUCCUGAUCGUUGGUCCUUCGCCAGGCAAAGCAGCGAACACGGAACACCUGGUGCCCGACCGCCGGCGAGAAGCCUAACGAGGCAGCAAGCGAGCGAAGACGAUGCCAUUGAGGUCAGCCGUGUGUCGCGUGUGUACCUUCCCUGUGCGGACGCGCUGCGCGCGGCCAUGGAGGCGAGUGCGUGGCGAAGACGAAGGCGAACGUUAUCCCGGCGUGCGCGCGCCACCUGGGUCACGUGGCGUCACGGCGGCGCACGCGAGCAGGGGGUUAGGUGAUGGCGCGUGGCACCACAGCGCGCACAGGUUAGAUGCGCGCGUCGACGGGCGACACCGGGUACAGCCGCAUGGACUCUGCGAUGGCGUCGUGGAGGUCGUAGCGCAUGUCGCGCAUCGGCGUAUGCGAUGCAUGCAGCCGGUCCAAUCUGAACGGAGACGCGUCCUCUCGUCGCUCGCGGCGAAGCUCGCAGGACGCAGGAAGUCGACGCUUACUGGCAGGCCGGCGCGGCGGCGCUCCGGCGAGCCACGGCAUGCAGCGGAGGUGGCGUCGACGACCAGGGUCCAGGGGACGGGUGGACGGUAUUUCAAAUACCGUCCGCCCCCUGGGUCACUUUACGCCGUUGGAUCGAGCACGUGCGGUCCGGAUCGGGCGAGGUCUGCACAGGCAGGGGCACGGUCGUCCUGGUUAGUCGUCAGGCAGGCGCGAUGCUGGAGGCCGGACGGGGACGGCGGCGGCACGGCGGGUGUGCUCGGGCUCGGCGGCGAGUGACCGCCGGUCGACGACGCGGCGAGACCUUGCCGGCCGCUUCAUCGUUUGAGAGAAGCUGGCCCGAUCAGGUCUGGGCAAAGCGUGUCCAUGGCCCCGGGCACGGAGAUGGCCAGCCAGCCGGCUUCGCCAGAUUGCCGCACGCGGCCGCCGUCUCGAACCACGUCGCCGUUUUCGCCGGCGGCGACCUGCCUCCUUGUCCAAGCUUGCAACGCAGGGUCCAGGGCGAUGGAUCAGAGAAUGUGGCUGCCUGACAGACAGCAGCAAAGACAGAGUGUUUUGCAUGUACGUAGUUCAGAGUUUGGGAUUGGCUGCACUGCAGCAUCAGACACUUCAAAUUUCAGUAAAAGCUAUAUUAAGCCAUACUUAUCGCUACCUUUUUGUGUUGAGGCCGAUGAUGGAUCAUCUUUGUGCCUGAAUCCACAGUUGUAGUACCAGGGCAGGAUGUCAAAACUUGCUGCGAGAAAUACAGUCCAGGAACACAGAGCCUUCAGAUUUGAGAUCAUAGACUGUUAACACAAAUCAGAGCAACUGACAGUGGGUGGUAACAUCUCAAGAAAAGACAGUAAAAUACCAUGUGCUCGCAGCCUCGCACUAGUGCAGCAGGAGAUGGCGGAAUUUGCGAAUUUGCAGGACUUGGUCCAAACUGUCGAGCUAAAUGAUCAGGAAGAUGACAGGAUAUUUUGGAAAUGGACGACAAAUGGAAAAUACACGUCCAAAUCAGCAUAUCAUGCACAGCUGAAAGGAAUGUACUGUUCAUUUUCCAGCAAUAGCAUUUGGACUGCACAUGUGGAAUAUAAACACAGGAGAAAGGGUAUUAACAGCGGACAAGAUGAUGCAAAAAACUGGGAGUGUGAACCAACAUGCAAGCUUUGUGACCAAGAAAACGAAACGGCUCUGCACUUGUGCCUCCUAUGGAUGUUGGUGUCCAACUGGACGGGAAGGAAGGUUCCCAUUCCUGGAGAUGGGUAUGAAUCAACCGAGCAAUGGUGGACACAAACAAUGGCCAAUAUCAGUAGGAAGCAGCGGAGAUCAUUGGCGGCCUACUGCAUCAUAACGGCAUGGAAUAUAUGGAAUGAGCGCAACAGGAGGAUCUUUGAAAAUAAAUUCCUAUCGCCUAUGCAGCUGCUUCUUCGCAUUCAGGAGGACAUAAACAUCAGGAAGCAAGCGUGCGGGAAGCCUGGGCUGGAAUAGAGUCUCUUUAGUUUUUUUUCAUGAAUGAGUCAUUUGAGCCUGUAUCUUUUUUAUGUAUCAUCGACUUAACUGUAACCGCAAACUUCUACCUCCUUAUAUGAAUUAGCAGCACUCCUGCUCCUUUUCAAAAAAAAAUUCGUUUUCCAUUUUGUGUACAGUCAUGAGUUAAACGGCAACUGCAACUGUGUGCAAGCAAUUGCAUGUGCAGAGGUAAGGCAGUGUUAGUUGGGAGUGCCAUUCAAGAAGACAUUAGGCACUCUUCGUGUUGGUCUUUGGUAAAAAGAAACAGAUUCUAGAUCCACAUGGCAGUUUGGAAAUUAAGCAACUCGGCUCGGUACACAAAAUUAACCAAUUUAGGAUCCAGAAAAGGUUCAAAUAAACACAUUGCCCAUCGAUUCGAAGCACGGAACAUGUACGGUCAUCGGGCUGUUUCUGUCACAUUUCGGAUAGUAAUAAAGAAAAAAAAGAGCAAAAUUGCAAUAUGAACCUAGACUUCUGUUAUUUCAUUCUAAGGUAGGUUGAGGGAGGUUACAAACGUCAGUCAGCUAGUAGGUUGACCAAGAGGAAAGGCAGUGUGCUGGAAGAUUGAAUUUAACAUGGCAGCAGCUUUACCAAAUUCCAAAUAUUUUUUGUUUCUCCUUGCUCAUUCAAGGUUUUUUUUUGUUUCUCCCUUGCUCAUUCAAGCUCAAAUUCUAAAAGUAUAUACACGAUUUUACGCCCUAUCCAUUUAUAUUUUGGUUGGAAAUUUGGAUGCAAACGGGCUGGUAACACCGGAGGCGUUCACGUUUUGCAAACUGUAACGUUGGGCUUGGGCCUAGCUUUGAGUCCUUCCAAGUUACGUGGGUUAGACCCGCUUACGCUUUCUCUGGGCUCACUUGUACACAUUUCCCUGGCCUGGGCUCUGUUUCUUAUACAGGAGGUGAAUUGACUGAUCUCCUCCAAUGUUGUUGUCACGAGGAUACAAAUGCGAGCGGUUGUUUGGUUUCCCGGAAAUUUGCGACAGCGGAUUUAUAUUUGUUGAUGCGCAUAUGCAUGCCAUCCUGAGAUCACGAGGAAGGAUGACAGGGCCGGCGACACUCUCUCUUCUCUGACCAGAGAACUUGUGAGGUGAGCAAGCAGAUCCGUUGGUAGACCCGAUGCCGGCCGACCAAAGUGGCCUCCCGCUGCACGAAGGGCUGACGUCAAGUACAUGCCGCCCAUGGCCUUCCCGCUGUACCAAAGGGCUGACGACCCCAGGCCUGGUCCUUGCUUGCUCUGGCCGAUGAAUCCGCUGCCGAUCUUGUUUGUCUGAAUCUUGACAGCGAUGCACCGGCGAGAGUGGUCAGUGGUCACAGCGUGAGCAGCCAACCCUCGUCUCAGCCAUACGAAUUCCUGCCCCACCUAUCCAUCCAUCAAGUUAUCAGGAUCGGCCUGAAUGUUGUUGCUACAGUCCCAGUGGCUUUUCUCCUUUUUUGAUUCUCUAGUGAUGGAGCCUCAGAUUUGCGUGUGCUACCCUGUAUCACUUUGUCUGAAUGGACAGGCGGCAACCUCCGCGACACUACAGUUUACAGCACGUGUCGUGUUUUUUUUUUUGGAACUAGCUUCUUCAUUCAUUCAGAAUCCAGAUUACAAUCCUCUUGUUCUUGUAGAGGUCGCAACAAGAAGCUAGGGGGUUCUCUAUCCAAACUUCAGUACUAGUAGAACUAGCAUGCUUAGCACAAACAUGGGCGACAACAUUAGACGAUGAACCAUAUUAAAAGAGGUAAAAGACGUCACGACUUCCUGAAUCUCACGCAAAAUCGUUGCAAUCUCCGAUCUGUGGUUGUGUUCGGCCAGUCCUCCAGCUCUGAAGAAAACUGGGGGCAACCACCACGGAAUGCUGGAACUGCAGGUAAAGUGCGGGCUAGUUGAGUACCCUGCGGUACGAGUGAACUGUGAAGCACGAAAGAUUCUCCAGCUUCAUAUCAUAACAGUCACGCCGUCCAACCACCUGGCGAGAAUCAGAACCACAAUGCCACACAGCAAAUCACAACCAACCAGAUCAGGCAUCUCAUUCUUUCCAACUAACCACCAGUAGGGAACCAGCAAAACGAUGAGCCGCGAAGAUGCUUUGCUCUCUGCCAGCAAUCUGUCGACCGCUUAAGGGCCAGAAGAGCUAACUGAAGCACGUAAAAGGACCGACAAAAAAUGCAGGAAAAAAAAUCAGUGACUCAGUUCGCAAAAAAUGAGAAUUGCAGUAGACUGCAGCAAGGAACACAGAAGCGGGACAAAACAUGAAACUAUUAUUUCCAAAGACGCAAAGCUCAUCUAUGCAACCAAACCGACUAAACACAGCAAAAUUACAACCGAACCGUUCAUAUUCUUCACAACCAGAAACUAAACUCAGGUCCCAUAUUAGCAACUUCGUUACAUGAAGGUAGCAAGCAGGUAGGAAAAGCAAAAGGCAACUCAUGUCCCAACUUAGCAUGAAUCCUGGCGUCCGGAGGCACACCAUUUCACAUUUUAUUCUCUGCAUAGACAAGCAGCGGGGCCGUUCCACGACCGCAAAGGCCUAGGGAAGGAACCAUGGAGCGGAGAUGACGCUCUACUGGGUCUUGAACAUGUGGCGGAUCAGGUCGACAACACGGUUGCUGUAGCCCCACUCGUUGUCGUACCAGGAGACAAGCUUGACGAAGUUGUCGUUCAGAGCAAUUCCAGCCUUGGCGUCGAAGAUGCUCGACCUAAGUGGAAACAAUGAAACAGGAAAAAAAAUGAAUAACACAGCACAGGAACAAAACAACAUUCACUAGAAUUCAUCGUAGCACUAUCGUGGUGUGCCCUAGAAUAUCCACUGGUUCCUAGAACUUGGAGGACCCAAAGCAAAUUUCGUGUACCUGCUGUCACCAGUGAAGUCAGUGGAAACCAAAUCCUCAUCCGUGUAACCCAUGAUACCCUUGAGUGGCCCCUCAGACGCAGCCCUGUAAAACAAUAACAAUCAAAUUAACAACAUUUCACGAAUCCCCAACCAAGAAGAAUGCAAGAAACAUGGACUCAGGAACCUCUCCAUGUCAAACAUGGCAACAGAUUAUCAUUCCAGACAAGAAAUGUAAAUACAUUGAUAAAUUAAUUUAAAACAAUAAACAAGAGACUUACUUGAUAGCCUUCUUAAUGUCCUCAUAGGAGGCACCCUUCUGGAGUCUAACGGUGAGGUCAACAACUGACACAUCCACGGUGGGAACACGGAAGGACAUACCAGUGAGCUUGCCGUUCAAUUCAGGAAGAACCUUACCAACAGCCUGCAGUACAUUAAUAUACAAGUUAGAUGCAGAAUCACAAUUAAAUUUAUAAGAAUAUAGAAUGGUUGCCAACUUUACACUACGCAGAACAUAAGUCAAUAAUGAAGCCUUUUAACACAUGAUUCCAAGGUAUUUGCAUGCUCAUUUAUGUGAUUUAGGCUCAGAUACAUAAAUUAGUUCACAAAGCUAAGUAUAAACCCAAAACAGAGAAAUAAGCUAUCAAGUUUCUAUCACAAAUUAUCAGCUAGCCUAGCAGGUCAAAACAGUUCGCACAAACAAAAGACUACAGAAGAACUAGGAAUUACAGGCUCACUGUAUACAACAUUGUGAGUUUGUCAUAUACCUUGGCAGCACCAGUGCUGCUGGGAAUGAUGUUAAAGCUGGCAGCCCUUCCACCUCUCCAGUCCUUGGCUGAGGGUCCAUCAACAGUCUUCUGGGUGGCUGAGAGACAAGUAUCAUUCUGUCAUUACUACAAGUAUCUUCUCAAUCCUAGGAGGAACAAUGGCUCAACAGACAACUCACCAGUGAUGGCAUGAACAGUGGUCAUCAAACCCUCAAUAAUACCAAAGUUGUCAUUAAUAACCUGUUUUAUGAAGUUAGACAUCAUUAAUAACCCAUCUACAUCAGAAGAGCAGAAACAACUAAAAAAUGGCUCAAAGAAGAGACAACACACCUUAGCGAGGGGAGCAAGGCAAUUUGUGGUGCAGCUAGCAUUGGAGACAAUGUUAAUAUCUGAGGUGUACUUGUCCUCAUUGACACCAACAACAAACAUAGGUGCAUCUUUGCUUGGGGCAGAGAUAAUAACCUUCUUGGCACCACCCUAUUAUUCAAAAGCAAAAUGCAUGUGUUAGAAUCAUCCAGUUGAAACUUCGAGAAGAAUGUUGCGCUUAUGUGGAACAGGGUAAGUUACACAGCUCACAAUAAUCUACAUGCAAAAAGCACAGAUACGGUGUAGACAGUACAUGCAUGUAUUAGAUCCUAAUCAUGACGACACUACCUUGUUUAGCUUCCCAGAUGUAUAGAAGAGUCCAAUAACUCUGCUUAUAACAAAACUAAUGGACAUUAAACAAACUGGUAACACUGGACAGUCUUUAUAGAAUAGAAGAGUGUAUUUCAAAUCUCUCAGGUUAUUAAAGCAUAUCAGAAUCAAAUGACCAAUUCAAUUGGAAGGAAGAAGCUACCACUAAACACAGCUGCGAAGAAAAUUUACUACUGAAAAUUAAGACACCAUUUUUUAAGCCCAACAACUAAGUGGACCAUCACUUAAUUUGUUCCCCGCAUGUAUACAAUCAUACCAAAUUCAUGCAUUCAGGAACUAGGGAGAACAAAAUACAUGAACUGCAUGCAUUCUAACCAGCAAUAGGAUUAUGUGGCAGCAAUUAUACCUUCAAGUGAGCCGCAGCCUUGUCCUUGUCAGUGAAGACACCAGUGGACUCCACGACAUACUCGGCGCCAGCCUCAGCCCACGGGAUCUCCUCAGGGUUCCUUUUAUAUUACAGCAGUUUAAACAUUAGUUCACAGCGUGAACACAGAAGCUCAAUCCAUCACUGAAAGCAGUAACAGGGGAUGUACCUGAUGCCAAAGACGGUGACCGGCUUCUCGCUGAAGAGAAGGGUCUUGGUGUCCUUGAUCUUGAUGUCGCUGUGCUUCCACUGGCCGUGCACGGUGUCGUACUUGAACAUAUAGGUCUGCCCGAGACAGGAAGCGCAUAAAUCAUGAGCACAGCACUCAAAAUUCACAAUUCAGUACGCUAGCAAAAACUAAACACAGAGCUAAGCACUAAAUCUCAAGGUGUACAUGCCCACAAGACUAAGCACCAAGCGAAGCACUAAAUCUGAAGCUGUAGACACCCACUGACAGGAUAAAUAAAAUAUUAUAAUUAAGCAACAUGACCAGCAAAUCCCCCCAGAUCCAUGGAACCCCAGUAAAGAAUUGGAGUCAAACAACUCCGGAAGCCCACGAUUAACAGCAUCAAGCACGCUUCCUCACGAAUCGGCGCUGAACCCACCACAAAACCCCCCAUAAACCACCAGAUCUACGCACGACAGCGAACGAAACCAACAGAUCGAGGCGCGUACCAUGUAUUCGGUGGUGAUGAAGGGGUCGUUGACGGCGACGAGCUCGACAUCCUCGCUCUGGAGGGCGACCCUGGCAACAAGCCUGCCGAUUCUUCCGAAACCUAAGCCAAAUCACACAAACAAAAACCAACUCAGAUCAGUCCAGAUUCAACCACGCAGAGACCAAACAAGCACGUAGAGUUACGCUGGCGGGUACAAACUCACCGUUGAUUCCGAUCUUAAUCUUGCCUGCGCAUCCGCAAAUCCACCCAACAAAAACGAGAAAAGAAAACAAGUCAGCAAAGCCCGUCCAGGCUAGAUCCGAGUACGAAGCAUAAGAGAACAGCAAUUAGACGGGGAGAUCCGGGUCAGGAGCGAGCAAUUACCCAUGGCGAGAGGGGGUGCUGCGAGGCCGACGACGACGAGACGGGGAGGAGGGUGUGAGGAGAUGCGAGAGGAGGAGCAGGGAAGUGUCUAGAAGCGGAUAGGGUGAGGUGGGG
rnacentral:lncRNA from 1 species